AGACCUAUUCUGGACGGGAACCAUUUUCCUCCCGCGCGAGCGUAGCCAGCCCGCCAUGCCCGAUGGUGCUUGCCCCAACGCGCUGCAAGGCGUCGACGACGCCUGCGCGGCGAGCUGCCUCGCCGACCUUCUUGGCGAGGCUCGCAUCUCCGACGAGCCUGCGUCCGACGCGGGCACAGACUGCCCCAAGAGCCGCCUCGUCAGCCUCCUCGACCAGCUCCACGUCUCCAGCGAGCUUGCUGCAGACUUGGAGUCAGUCGGCUCCACCGACCCGAUGCUGGUCGACUCCGACACGGCAUCGCUUGACACCUUCCCCACCAACGUGGUGAUCAUCGACGACCCUCUCCCUCGAGCCGACAGUGGCAGCAGCGCUGUCAUUGAGGUGUUGGUCAUCAGCCACGGCGUCGUCUCAGGCGAGAACGCCCACGACGCCGUACAAGCGGCGCUGCACGACUAAUCCGUCCCCAUCCCGGCCGACGCCGACGCCGAGACUCUGGAGGCAUGCCGCCUCGCCCUCGUCGCGGAAGGCUAGAAGAUAGCAUCCAUGAGACGCCUCACUGAGGCUCACCAGCGCGAAGUCGACCGGGCCGCCUUCGGUACGCCGCCUCCUGGCGGGCCGAGCCGAGCCGGCUUCGUCAAGAAGCGCGGCGCAGCCAUCGCCAGCAUGCUGGGGGCAGACCGCCCAGUCUACGCCACGCCGCUCGAGAACCUGCAUGCCGCUCAGGCGGCCGUAGACGAGCUGAACGGGCUGGGGCUGACGAGCUCCCCUACGAUACUAGAUGCAUCCAGCAGCUGAUUGACGCUGCCGCAGGGCAGCAUGAAGCCAGGACCCGCGCUGAAAGUCCUCACCCACGCCGAGGACAUCCCGGACGCAGACUGUAGACGGCGCCCGCGCAAGAAAAGACAAGGAGCCGGCUGCUAGCCACAGUCGGACUCGGCUCACCAUCGAGCGUGACGCAGAAGGCCGCCCCCAAGCUGUGGAACGACGAGGCGAUCCGCCUCCUCCCCCGCCUCGUGGGGAGAGAUAUCCCACCCUGCCGCCUGUCACGCAUCCGACUCUCGGCGGCCGACUGGGCCACCACGAAGGAGUCAGCGAGAGUGACGCCCGCCACCGGAUCGACCGCCUAGCACGAUCCCUGGCGCUAGAAGAAGAAGAUGAUGUCGGCCCGCCUUGCUUUGGCCCCCGCAUCCGCGACGAGCCCUUCCCCAAAGGGUUCUCGCUCCCAUGAGACACGCCGAAGUACAACGGCUCCAUGAAGCCGGAAGACUGGUUAAUCGACUACUCCACCACAGUCCGCAUAGCAAAUGGCAGCAGGCGUGUUGCCGAGAAGUACGUCCUGCUCAUGCUUCAAGGCACGGCAUGCACUUGGCUGAACAGCCUCAAGCCCUACAGCAUCAAUAGCUGGCUAGACUUCACGGAAGUCUUCGUCCGCAACUUCACCGGCAUGUACAAGCGGCCUCCCAAGCCCCACCAGCUCUCCUUGUGCAUCCAAGGGCCCAGACGAAUCAACUCGCGACUACCUCACGCGUUGGGCCGAGCACCACAACUCCUGCGAGGGGGUGCACGAGGUUCAAGCCAUAGAGUACUUCACCGCCGGGUGCCGAGAGGGCACCCUCCUCAAGCACCGACUCCUCUGCGACGAGCCGACUACCCUCGACGAGCUGCUGAUCAUAGCAGACAAGUACGCCACUGCCGACUCCUCGAUGAAGACCGAGCUUCGAGUGGAUGCCUCUGGGAAGGUGCUCGCUCCGGCUCCCAAGACGCCGGCUGGCGACUCCAACCGACGCCCUAACCAGAACGACAACAAGCGCAAAGCCCCUAUGCCGCCUUCCACCAGUCGGCAAGUAGCCACAGUCGAAGACGAACAACCCGAAGAGUGGCCCGCUCCCAAGAAGCAGAAGGGCGGCAGGCUGGCUUGGCAGCCGGCUUUCUCCUAUGAACAAACCCUUGAUGCUCCUUGCAAGUUUCACAGCGGCGCGAAGCCGUCCAACCACACGACACGGAAGUGCCAUUGGCUCACACGGAUCUCCAAAGGCGAGGGGCUGGUGCCGCCUCCACCUGCUGGCCCGCCGCCUCCGGCCCCUCAGCAGCCAGCUGUUCGACCAGCAUUCGGAGCCAUUCAAGAUGAGUUUCCAGAUGAGCAUGCCGCCUACAUCGUCUUCACAAGCCAAAUUGAAGACAGGCGCAGUCGGCGCCGUCAGCACCAAGAAGUCAACGCGGUCGCCUCCAACAACCCCGAGUUUAUGCAUUGGUCUGAGAAGCCUAUCAGCUGGAGCCAGGCCGAUCACCCAGAGGUGAUGCCGUCUCUCGGCUCCUAUGCAUUGCUGUUGGACGCCACCCUCGCGACAGAAAGGCGAGCUGCCCAUUUCUCUCGUGUACUGAUUGACGGUGGAAGCAGCAUCAAUAUACUGUACCGUGACACCAUGGAGAAGCUGAACCUCAAGACGAGGCAACUCAUGCCAAGCCGGACUGUGUUCCAUGGCAUAGUACCCGGCCUGUCCUGUUCCCAAUCGGCAAGAUCAAGAUGGAUAUUCUCUUCGGAGACAAAGAUCACUUCCGCCGAGAGGCGAUCUGGUUUGAAGUGGUGGAUCUAGAGAGCCCUUACCACGCAUUGCUUGGCCGACCUGCCCUGGCUAAGUUCAUGGCUAUGCCCCACUACGCCUACCUCAAGAUGAAGAUGCCGAGUUCGAAGGGGAUCAUCACCAUAGCCGGAGACUACAAGAAAUCCUCCGAAUGUGCUGCAGCCAGUAGCCGGCUGGCCGAGUCCCUCGUGAUCGCUGAAGAGAAGAAGAUGCUGGACCGAGUCGUGGCCAUGGCCGGCAAGUAGCCGGUCCUGUCCCCUGAUCCCAAGGAGUAUGACGCUCAAGGCUCUUUCCAGCCGCCCAAGGAAAUGAAGAAGAUACCGUUGGACCCAGAGAACCCGGAUAGGUUUGCUGUCAUUGGGGCAAACCUGGACAGUAAAUAGGAAGGCGAGCUCGUCGACUUCCUCCGUGAGAAUCGGGACAUCUUUGCAUGGUCCCCAAAGGACAUGCCGGGUGUUCCGAAGGAUUUCGCCGAACACAAGCUACACGUUCGAGCAGACGCAAAACCAGUCAAGCAACCUCUCCGCCGACUGUCGGAGGAGAAGAGAAGGAUUGUGGGAGAAGAGAUAGCCCGGCUCCUGGUAGCCGGCUUCAUUAUGGAGGUGUUUUUCCCAGAAUGGCUUGCCAACCCGGUCCUAGUGUUGAAGAAAAACAAUAAAUGGCGCAUGUGUAUAGAUUACACCAGCCUCAACAAAGCCUGCCCCAAAGAUCCGUUUGCCUUACCACGGAUUGAUCAAGUGAUAGACUCCACAGCCAGAUGCGAGCUAUUGAGUUUCUUGGAUGCUUACUCAGGCUACCACUAGAUCAAGUUGGAUCCAGCCGACCGCCUGAAGACCCCCUUCAUCACACCAUUCGGAGCUUUCUACUACCUGACUAUGACAUUCGGCUUGAGAAAUGCCGGUGCCACUUUUCAGCGUUGCAUACAGAAAUGCCUCCUCAAGCAACUCGGCAGAAAUGCCCACGUCUAUGUAAAUGAUAUUGUGGUGAAGACGGAGAAGCGUGGCACCCUGCUGGAAGACCUCAGAGAAACAUUUGCCAACUUGCGCCGAUUUCAGAUCAAGCUCAACCCUGAAAAAUGCGUGUUCGGAGUACCAGCCGGCCAGCUUCUAGGCUUUUUGGUCUCCAAACGCGGCAUCGAGUGCAACCAAGUGAAGAUCAAGGCCAUAGAGAGAAUGGAGAUUCCUACCAAGCUGCGAGACGUCCAGAAGUUUACCGGGUGCCUGGCCUCCCUAAACCGCUUCAUCAGCCGGCUAGGAGAGAAGGCUCUCCCCCUGUACCGACUCAUGAAGAAGUCCACCCACUUCGAGUGGAACGACCAAGCAGACCAAGCUUUCCACAAGUUGAAGAAGAUGCUGACCACGCUGCCUGUCCUGGCAGCACCGACUGAGAAAGAGCCCAUGCUCCUUUACAUUGCCGCGACUAGCCGAGUGGUCAGUACAGUUAUUGUGGUCCAACGCCCAGAAGAAGAUCGGGCUCAGUUAGUCCAGAGGCCGGUAUAUUAUUUGAGCGAAGUUCUGUCCAUGUCGAAGCAAAACUACCCGCACUACCAAAAGAUGUGCUAUGGAGUAUACUUUGCCGCCAAGAAGCUGAAGCCCUACUUUCAAGAGCAUCCCAUCACGGUCGUAUGCACUGCCCCGCUUGCCGAGAUCAUAGGCAGACGGGAUGCAUCCGGCCGGGUGGCUAAGUGGGCCAUUGCGCUGGCUCCUUACACGAUCUUCUACCAGCCCCGCACCGCCAUCAAGUCCCAAGCAUUGGCCGACUUCCUUGUCGACUGGGCCGAGACCCAGUACCUACCGCUGGCUCCUGACUCCACUCAUUGGCGGAUGCACUUCGAUGGAUCCAAGAUGCGCACCGGCUUGGGAGCCGGCAUCGUCCUCACCUCUCCCAAGGGCGGCAAACUCAGAUACACACUGCAAAUUCAUUUUGCCGCCUCCAACAAUGUGGCCGAGUACGAGGCGCUCAUACACGGGCUCCGGCUAGCCAAAGAUCUCGGCAUUCGCCGGAUCCUGUGCUAUGGUGACUCGGAUCUGGUAGUCCAACAAUCAUCCGAAGACUGGGACGCCAAGGGCGCAAACAUGGCGAGCUACCAAUUCCUCGCCCAGCAAAUCAGCGGAUACUUUGAAGGAUGCGAGUUCCUCCACGUGCCAUGGGCCGACAACGAGCAAGCAGAUGCCCUGGCAUGGAUCGGCUCCACCCGACAAGCUAUACCAGCCGGUGUCUCUCUUUAACGCCUCCUCAAACCGUCUGUCAAGCCAUCUCCAGAAUCAGACUCCAUCUUCGUACCGCCUGCCCCUGAUGCAGCCGGAUCCGACUUGGGGAACCCAGCAGGCAGCUCAGGGACUUCGACAGGCGGCCCGGGGACUGCCGUAGCCGCACCCGGAUCGGGGACUUCAGAGCCCGGCCCGGGGACUACAGCGGUCAGCCCGGGGACUGCAACGACACAACAGGCGGUGGCCGACUCCAACUCUUCAGCACCCAACCCACCCACCCUGGUCGUAGUAGCCGUAUUGGCGAUAGAAGAAGUCGCAGCUCCAUCAUGGGCCCAACCCAUCCUCAACUUCCUAGUAAACAGAGAGCUGCCGACUGAUGAGCUCUCGGCAAGACAAGUUCAACGCCGAGCCAGAGCAUACACAAUAAUUAACAGAGAACUCGUUAAGCGUAGCGUCACUGGAGUCUUCCAGCGCUGCGUCGAGCUAGAGAAGGGCAUAGCAAUCCUGAAGGACAUCCACCAAGGCGAAUGCGGCCACCACGCGGCCUCAAGAUCACUUGUCGCCAAAGCUUUCCGCCAUGGUUUCUUCUGGCUGACUGCUUUGGAAGACGCCAAGGAAUUAGUCAAAUGCUGCAAAGGGUGCCAAGUCUUCAGCUGCAAGCAGCACCUGCCGGCUUCUGCACUCAACACCAUCCCCUUACCUGGCCCUUUGCCGUCUGGGGGUUGGACAUGGUGGGCCCAUUCAAGACGGUGCGCGGCGGCAUGACACAUCUGCUUGUCGCGGUGGACAAAUUCACCAAGUGGAUUGAAGCGAAGCCAAUCAAGAAGCUGAAAUGGGCCGACUACCGUGACAUUCAUCGCAGAUAUCACCACUCGGUAUGGCAUACCACACAGCAUCAUCACCGAUAAUGGCACGAAUUUUCCCAAAGGAGCACUGGCACGUUUCUACGCGACAUAGGGCAUCUGACUGGACUUAGCGUCCGUCGCCCACUCGUAGUCAAACGGCCAAGUUGAGCGAGCAAACGGCCUCAUCCUCUUCGGCAUCAAGCCCCGACUGGUCGUACCACUGGAGCGUUCGGCCGGCUGCUGGCUCGAUGAGCUGCCGGCUGUCCUCUGGAGUCUGUGUACUACCCCGAACAAGUCAACUGGCUUCACUCCAUUCUUCCUUGUAUAUGGUGUCGAGGCUGUCAUCCCAACUGACAUCGAGUUCGACUCACCUCGGGUCACCAUGUACACGGAGGCGGAGGCCAAGGAAGCGCGAGAAGACGGCGUUGACCUGCUGGAAGAGGGCCAACUGUUAGCACUCAGCCGGUCCGCCAUCUACCAGCAGGGUUUGCGCCGUUACCACAACCGGAGGGUCAGGCCAAGAUCCUUCCAAGAGGGCGAUCUUGUGCUCUGGCUGAUCCAGCGAACACCCGGCCAGAACAAGCUCUCGGCCCCUUGGGAAGGCCCCUUCAUCAUCAGCAAGGCCCUAGGCAACGACUCCUACUACCUGAUCGACGCACAGAAGCCGAAGGCACGCAAGAGGGAUGAUUCCCGCAAGGAGUUGGAACGACCAUGGAACGCCAAUCUCCUGAGAAGAUUUUACAGUUAAAAGCAGUAUGUACCAUGCUACCUUUUGUAUUAAGUACAAGACAACGGGCCCCCCGAGGUGCACUCGGGGACUACCCUCUUUUAUCUAUGUAUGACGAGUAUCAUACCUAUGAAUGUAUUAUCACAUUUGAUUUUCUGUCCGGCACCUGGUUCGACCAGUCGGCCCGGGGACUUGCCGCCUUGAGUUAUAUUAAAGUUCUACAUGCAGUCAGACAAGUAGUGUGCCAGCACCCGAGCCCUCUCUUGUCAAAAGUCGCAGCUCGAAGAACCGACUGUCCGACUGGCAAGAGCCAAAGGCAGGAAAGGCUGCCCACACGAAAAACGGCGAAGGACUAAUGAACCUAUAUAACACAAGCCGGCCUCCUACUAUGCCUACCGGCUGUCAGAACAGACAGCUAGCCGGCUUCCCAUUCACUUUGCUACAAUCCAAGAAAGCUAGAGUACUUGCCCUCCCAACCGGCCAAGCACUUCUCCAGCCACCGACUGCAGAGCAUCUGUUCGGCUGGGAAGGCGACGACCAAGGGAGGGCAGCAAAGGGAACAGCCAAAGGAUGAACAGCAAGAACAAUGGGAAGCCAAACACAUGCAUGAUUAUAUUUACACAAAAAGCCUUCAACAGGCCGGCAGUCAACAUAGUUUGAAAUACACCCCCAGUGGGUGGAACUGCGCAAACUUAACAAAAUAUUGUUCAAAGAGUAACAAAACAGGAAAGUAAAGGCGGCAGAUUAGGCCAAGGGCGCAACAGGCGAGCCGGGCUGGUCGGUGGAGACGGCAGUGCCGGCUGGAGGAGUGGCCGGCUGGCGAGUCUCGGCUUGAGCAUCACCGGCUGCAGGCGGCGCGCUCGCACGCGCCUCAUUGCUGGAGGCACGAUCAAGUUGAGGCUGGCCAGUCGCUCCACCGUCUGGCACGGCGUCUUCACCAUCCUCCUCCUCCUCCUCGCCCUCAUCGCUGGAGUCGAUCUCCUCUGCCGAGUCCUCACCAUCCGCCGGGUUCAGCCCGAACCACUCCUCCGGCUGAGCAACGCCGUUAUCAUCCACCUCAGGAGCAAAGGCACUGGUGUCGGUGUAGUCGGCGAUCGUCGAGGCAUGCUGGAUGAUAGCCAGCCGCGCCGGCUCCAGCUCCGUGUCGGCCUCCUGCCGCCAGAUGGCCAGCUGGUCCAAGCUCAGCUCAGGAUACCAGGCUUUGACGAACUCCAGCGCCCGCCUGGCGCCUGACCGAGCCGCAGAAGCCUUCCAGGCCUUGAAGCGGCCAACCACUACCUCCAGCCAGUCGGCAGUCCGACUGGGGGUACGGGGAAUCACCUCGCCGGGCCAGAGAGCGGCCAGCACUUGCGCCCCAACACGCUGAAGCCGGCGGAGCAUGCGGUGAGCCGGCUGGAGGCGGGCUUGGAUCGCCAGGAGCUGUUCCUCAAGCGAUCGGCGAGCGUUCGGCGCGAUCUCAGCGCCAGCCUGCCUUUGCGCCUUGCGGUGAGCCUCGACGACCUGGUUGGCGGCAGUAGAGUAACCAGGGAAAUACUCUGCACAAGAAAGAAAGGAAGAGAAAAAGAAAAAAAAAUACAAAGUUAGAGAAUGAACCAAAUGGCAAGCGGCAAGCAAGGAACGAAGAAGAAGGCGGCCUACCGUCAACCAAGUCUUCGAUCUGGCCGUAGCCGUUGAUCAACGACUGCCUCACCUCAACCCAGCUCGCCGCCUCUGUCUCGUACUCGGCUUGGAGGGCGGCUUCACUGUCCUGCACCGCCUUCAGGGCCGCCUUGUGGCUCUCCUCCUGGUCGGCCAGCUUCUUGACCAGGCGGUCACGCUCCUGAGCCAAGGCGUCGAACUCGGCUUCCUUGGCGCGAAGGGCGGCCUGGGUCCCACCUAGCUGCUCCCUUAGUUUGGCAUUGGCCGCUGCAGAUAUGGCAAAGAAGAAAAAAGCAAUAGGAAAGAAGUCGCCAGGAAAGAUCCGGCCCGACUGCUCAGCAGUCGGCCCGAAUCUCGGGGACUACACCCAGUGGGUGCGCUGACGCGCCCCCACGUGAGAUAAAAAAGGAAGCACUUACCCCGGCUCUCCGUUAGAUCAGCGGUCUUCUGGGUCAGCUCCCGAGCCUGGGAGUUGAAGGCAGCCGCACGGAGGUUGUGGUAGUCCUGCAAGUCUGACAGAGAAGCGAAUAAGAACAAGAUAGCAAACAAAGUCUACCAAGAAGUUCCAAGCCGCCUGCUCAACAGCCGACUCGGAACUCGGGGACUACACCCAGUGGGUGCGCUGACGCGCCCCCACGGAAGAAAUCAAGAUCAAGAAACAAAAAACGGGAAGACUCACCUGAAUGGCCGCCCGUGUCGCGAGGAACUCUUCAUUGUACUGCCUCAGCACAGCGGCCUGGGACUGAAGCCGGUUCCGGACUUCUUGCGCCGCCACAUUCACCACGGCCGUCCCACCACCCGGCGUCCACCCCGAGCUAGCGCUGGCCGUCUCCAGAUCCUGGGCCGACGAGCUGGAGCCCGCGGCCUUCUGGGGGUCCGGCGCUGAAGUUGCCUUCCCCGCGCGCUGGCGCGAUGGCGUCCGGACCGCCAGGUCCGUCCUCGCAGCCGGCUCGCCUCCAGCCGGUUGCGCGGGCGGCAUGUUAGGCCGGCUGCCUUGGGCCGCCCCAGUCGGCGAUGGCGGUGCCGCAUCCCUCUCUUGGACGACGACGUCGUCCUUCUCCCUUUCCAUCCCCUGCAGGUCGCCACCGGCUUCCUCCGGCGAGGGCUCCGGGACCUCGGGCACCACGGCACGCAGGGGGUGACAAGCAAGGCCCCCGCCGCUGCCUCUGCGGCUGCAGCCUCCGCCUGAGCCUUGGCCGCUGCGUCGGCUUGUGCUUUCGCUGACUCCUCCACCACCUCCUGCGCCGCCUUGGCGGCGGCCGCCUUCAGCUCCUCCGCCUCCCACUCCUCCCGCGCGUUCUUCUCCGUCGCCGCUUGAAGCUCGGCACGGGGGUCCACGCGAAGAGUACUCCCGGAUCCUCCCACCGAUCCAACCACGGAGGCGGCAGCGAUCCGCUCAAGAGAGAGCGGAGCCCUGUUUGAUAAGUCCAGACAAGGAUUCAGAAAUCAACGAGAAAAGAAGAAGGAAUAUGCGAGAGAAUCGAAACUUACGCUGAAACCUUUUGCGGCUGCUUCACCACCUUGCGGAAGCGGGCCGCCUUCGCGGCCGCCUCUUCCCGCCUGGUCGCCGCUGCCCCGCUCUUGGGCUUCUUCGGCUGACUGCCGAACAAGCCCGACGUGGCCCGGCGUUUCUGCGCGCCGCCUCGGGCAGCCGGUGCUGCAGAUGAGCCCGCGCCUUGAUCAGACGCCGGCUGGCGGCGCGGGACGAUUUCCGCCUCGUCAUCAUCCGGCCAGUCGUCGAAGCUGGCUCCAAGCCCGGAGCCGCCUGCUUCGCCGCCUCCCGCCUCGGUGUUGUCGUCCAUAGCGGCCGCCCCCAAGUCGGGGUCCUCCAAGUCAUGCGCCGCCCGGUCAGGGAGAAAUUUGCGACCCGCCCCCGCUGACCCGGCCGCCGGUCGAAGGAGAGGGCUCUGCCAAGACGAGCCGACUGGUCAGAGUCGGCCAUGAAAAGCUCGGUGACAAAAACUAAAGAAGAGAAGAUAAUGAGAGCAUACCAUAGGCGGGGGAUGGGCGCGGGAGUAUGGCUCCUUGCCAAACUACCACUCCUCGGAGAGCUUGCAGUUAGCGAGAUAGUUCACCAUGUGAGCUACCUCGUCAUGAGGCAUCUCCUUGGUGCACAUCCGACUCGGGUCGAGUUGGCCGCUCAUUUGACAGAUCAAAUGAGGGCGGCUUUGAAGCGGGAGCACCCGACGCACCACGAAGGCGGCCAGCAGGUCGGACCCAGUCAGGCCCUCCGACUGGAUCAUUACCCGGAGUCGGGCGACGGCAGCGGCUCCAGCCGGCGACAGCGUCCUGGCCCGAUAGGACCACUGGGGCCACCUCCCAGCUGGCGGGUCGGCUACGUAAGCCGGCAAGUUGACGUAGUCUCCUUGCGGGGCGACGUUCUUCAUGUAGAAGUAUGAUUUCUGCCAGCGCUUCACCGACUGGAUCAGCGUCAUGACAGGGAAGGGGUUGUCGGCUGCCGGCCUCCGCAUCGCGAUGAAGGCGCCGCUCUGAGCCGGCACGCCCUGCAUGCGGGUGCCGAGCUUGGAUUGGAAGAAUUCCCCCCAGAGCUUGAGGGUGGGAAGAACGCCAAGAAAGCCCUCGCACAGAGUGACGAAGGCGUACAGCAGCACCACCGUGUUGGGUGUGAGGUGGUGCGGCUGGAGCUGAUAGAAUUCAAGGAAGGAGCGGAAGAAGGCGCUAGCGGGUAGGCCAAGGCCGCGCAGGAAAUGCGAGCGGAAGAUUACCCGCUCGCCUUCCUCCGGCUCCGGCGUGAUCUCCUUCUCCGGCGCGAGACGGACCCACAACUGGUCCUUGCCGGGCAACCGCCGCGUCUUGCGGAGGAAGUCAAUGUGGUCCGCGUGGACGUUGGAGCCGUCCCAGUCUCCGCCGUACUGCAUGACGGCAAGAGGCUGACGAGAAAGGGCGUGGCGACGGCAAAAACACGGCCCCGCGGCGGCGAAGCUGCGGGGUAGUGCGAAUAUUAGAGGGACGGCGCGGCGGCGAAGGGCUGUUGCGAUGGAGCGAAGGAAGAAGAAAAUGGCGCAGCGAGGGUGAGCGUGCGAGCGUCUGCCGCUCCCCCUCCUCCCCCUACUUAUAGCCUCGUGCGGCGAGGCCGAGGAGGCGAGGCGUGGGAGGGAACGUGGGAUUAACUGCGCCCACUCCCCCACGUCCCGCAAUUAUUGUGCCCUAACGACGUGCAGAAACUGCCGUCGGAAGGCGAGCGGCCGCUUUGGGCCACGGAAAAUCCGCGCUUGGGCCUAGGCGUGGGAGUGGUGGGCCCCGACCUGCGGCGGCGUCCCAUCGCACGCGUGGGCUGGCAGGCUUUUCUCGGCCGGAGGGUGCCACGUGGCACGCGGGCGGCAAGCGGCCGGCCUGCCAACCGGCGUGCGCACCAGCUGGCUCUCGCCUUCAGACUUCAAAAAUCUCGCCAAGACGGCGCACCCAACCGAAGCCGGCCCCUAGCUGCUAGCUCUUCAAAAUAGGAAGCUGACCGAGCUUCUCGUCCUCCUCUCAGCCUCGAAGCCCAACCAGCUUCGGGGACUACUGUUGGAGUAAAUGGCCGCUAACCGACUCCCCCUGGCUCUUCAAAAAUUAUCAGGUCGAUCGAGCCUUCAAGCAUCCAAAGCACAGGGCCGCCUUCCCCUAGCCGGCUAUCUCCCGAGCCGACUCCUGGAAGGCGACCCGGCCUCAAAAACCUUCCCGAAGAGAACCACAAGAUGGCCGACUCCAGGAAGCCGGCCCCAGGAGGACCGACUCCCAGAAGCCGGCCACGAAGAAGACCGACUCCCAGAAGCCGGCCACGAAGAAGGCCGACUCCCAGACGCCGGCCAAGACUGCACCCUCAAGGGCUGCACCCACGUAACCGUGAUGAGACGGGACGUGGCUAUAGUACAACCUACCACCCCCGAAUCCCGGAGCACGCGUGGCCACAGAGCGCCGUACGGGUCAGCCAUCCCCCGUCCGGCGCGGCACUGUUGCCAUGUUGACCAUGACACCACCCACGACAGGCGCCAGUACAGCCCGUGGGCGGCGGGCCCCUUUAGCCAGAGAGAUGCUCGAAGGCGGCCAAGCCUCCCCCAGUCGGCCUGGGGCAUAGCCAGCUCCCAAUAGCCGGCUACGCCCCACCCUCGAAGUUUGUGCAUCAUUAAGGAGACAAGACAAGGUAAGGCUACAGUGAGAGCCCGCAAGGCGGCGAUACUGUGGCCAUGCUUACCUCGACAAAGCCCUCGUCAUCAGAGGCGAGGCUACAGUAACCAGCCACCGACAAGACCCCUAGGCGGUGGGGCCGGCCUGUCGGCCAAGAGGCCGGCAGCCGGCGGGAUCCACCAGUCGGCGGGCCCCAGCGGUCGGCGGAGAAGCUGGCGAAUACAGACACUGAUGGCUAGGACCCGCGUCCAGCCGGAUUACCAUUGUACCCCUGGGGGUAGGCCUAUAUAAACCCCCCACGGCACCCAUGCAAAGGGUUGAUCUCUAAGAGUUUUAGACACCACAUAGAGAGAAAAGGAGAGCUAGCCCUUGCCCUUCUUCUUCCUCUAGCCAAACAGCUCAAGGAGCCUCUUGUAGCUACUUGUGUUGAUCUAGUGACCAUGCGGAGACCCCGCAGAGCAGGACUAGGGGUGUUAUCUCCACGGAGAGCCCCGAACCUGGGUAAGAUUCGCCGGCGUGCAUGUAUUCGCCUCAUCCCGUUUCCAGGCACUGGCGAUGUCUUACUGGCUCCCAUAAUGAUAAGCCACCCGUUGGCAUAUGUCGCACCUACCACCCGACACACUCUGCCUGGGGAGUACGGUCGCAAGACCGAAACUCAAAGGAAUUGGCGGGGGCCUGCACAAGCGGUGGAGCAUGUGGUUUAAUUCGAUACAACGCGCAAAACCUUACCAGCCCUUGACAUAUGAACAACAAAACCUGUCCUUAACAGGAUGGUACUGACUUUCAUACAGGUGUUGCAUGGCUGUCGUCAGCUCGUGUCGUGAGAUGUUUGGUCAAGUCCUAUAAUGAGUGAAACCCUCGUUUUGUGUUGCUGAGACAUGCGCCUAAGGAGAAAUUGCCACCGAGUGACGUGCCAGCGCUACUACUUGAUUGAAUGCCAGCACGUAGCUGUGCUUUUAGCAAGAAUUUCACCAUUGGGAGCCAGUGCCUUUCGAAGCACUUUCACGUGUGAACCGAAGUCGUCUUGUCCAAGACCCACGGAGACCUACCUAUAGUGACGUCAAAGUACUAGUGAGCAUGGAGGUUUGGUUGAAAUUGGUUACGACGACGUCGAGUUGGCGGCAGAGGAAGACUCGGCAUGAAGGCCAGAAAAUGGUGUGGAACGUAGUGGUAAUAGUACGCGCCCCGCUUCGAAACAAAGAAAAAGGUGCGUGCCGCACUCACGAGGGACUGCCAGUGAGAUACUGGAGGAAGGUGGGGAUGACGUCAAGUCCGCAUGGCCCUUAUGGGCUGGGCCACACACGUGCUACAAUGGCAAUGACAAUGGGAAGCAAGGCUGUAAGGCGGAGUGAAUCCGGAAAGAUUGCCUCAGUUCGGAUUGUUCUCUACAACUCGGGAACAUGAAGUUAAAAUCGCUAGUAAUCGCGGAUCAACAUGCCGCGGUGAAUAUGUACCCGGGCCCUGUACACACCGCCCGUCACACCCUGGGAAUUGGUUUCGCCCGAAGCAUCGGACCAAUGAUCACCCAUGACUUCUGUGUACCACUAGUGCCACAAAGGCCUUUGGUGGUCUUAUUGGCGCAUACCACGGUGGGGUCUUCGACUAGGGUGAAGUCGUAACAAGGUAGCCGUAGGGGAACCUGUGGCUCAAUUGAAUCCUCCGUGAUGGAAAUGCCCUCACCUACUUGACUAAACUAAGGACCACAACGGUAUAAACAUGUAGAUUUUCUACUUUUCCAUUUUCCUUCUUGUUUAUCAAUCACCAAUCAAGACAAACCGGGCACUACGGUGAGACGUGAAAACACCCGAUCCCAUUCCGACCUCGAUAUAUAUGUGGAAUCGUCUUGCGCCAUAUGUACUGAAAUUGUUCGGGAGACAUGGUCAAAGCCCGGAGAAAGAGCAAGAAAACGGAUGCGCUAACGCGCAACGGCUUUCGCGCUAGUUGCUCAAAAAAUCGUAUAAAAAUCAAGCAAGAAAACUAAAGAAAGCGUUAGCGCAUUGGACUCGAAAUCCAAAUUGUGCUAGCUGACAAAGAAAAUACAGAACAUAACAAAGAAAUAUUGGUUCUGACUGGUUGGUAAAAAGACUCUAAAUCCUUUGAGUGGUUCGAUUCCACAACAGAACAAAGAAUGAAAUGAAUGAAUGAAAGCCAUGACCAUGCCUCCAGUAGGAAGAUCGAGGAACCGGUGCUGGCGCUCCUGGUUCAUGGGAUCCUAACCGCGAUGGGGAGAUUAGAUAUUAUUCUUUCGUAAGUCCAUCCAAUGGAGAUAGGUUGAGGAGAAAGAAAGGAGAAAACUAAAGAGAAAGAUGGACAGUAGAUUGACAGUAUCCAAAUCAAAUAAGAAAAAACAUAGCUAUUUCAUCAAAUCCCGAUUGUGUGGGUGUGAAGUGGAAAAAUCCCGUUCUGGCUGGCAGCGGGCAUAGGACUGAAAAUCCUCUUUCGCCGGGCCUUUUGGACUCGAAAUCCAAACGGAGAGAGUGGUUCGAAUCCACCUCAGAACGAACAAUGAAAAAGGCGUCGAGCGGGUGCAAGCUCGAGGAGCUAGGAAGGAUGGAAGAAAGCUUGACCGUUUUCUCAUUGAACUACUCGAACUUUUUAUUCGAAAAAGCGGAAAUAGCUCAGUUCGAGAGAGGGUUGAGCUUCAUCGGUUAGUGUGCACCAAAGGAUGAGUUUUCUUUCCCGUCCUACAAAUUGAAACCGUUCUAGCUUGAUACUGUGAUAUCGUCAAAUCAUCCAACGGAGCAUGGAAACCAUUUCGGUGGCGGUAAUGGCCUCCAGUAUUUUUCUAUGGAACCAUACCACUAUGGUCAUCUAUAUGAUUAGACCGUGCCGCUUCACUAGACUUUCCUAAACCAUUCAUUUGAUCCCCACGGUCGUGACACCACUUUCUAAACAAAAGUUUGCAAAAUCCAAUGCGGAACCAAGCAGUAAGAGAAAUUCAUCAUGGUAAUUAUUAGUCGAAAACCAAAGUGGAACGGAGAGAACGGAGAGUCAGUUACAAUGAAAAAAUUGUUGAGGAAUCAUGUUGAAAGAACAACAUUCUGUGUCAUAAAUAUCGUAUAUAGAGAUUUUUCAUGUAUCGACGCUUUUGAUUCAAUUAUGAAAGUACGAUGUACUGGACUUGCACCCCUAGUUACGCAGAAGUGCAAGCACAGAAGCGGAUGACCGGACCUUACCAACAUACUCAAAAAAGUAUUCUAUACUGGGGUCUGUGCUCUUGACAAGCAGUGUUUCCAGUCUAGCUGUGUCAAAUUGGGUGUGAAGUGUCCUUCUAGGUUCUGGCUGGUAGAGCAGAGGACUGAAAAUCCUCUUUAGUUUCACCCAUGGGACUCUAAAUCCCAAUUGCGCUAGCUCUGUGGUUUGAUUCCACAACAGAAUGAACAAUGAAUGAAUGUGGGCGGUCAACCAGGUAAGCCUGUGCCCAGGAAAGAAAGGACGAGGGAGGGAUUGAGAGAAGCUUUCACAGUGGAAAAUGAAAAAAAAAGCAUAUCGUUCUUAGAAAUUGUGGAAUUUGACUCAGUUAGAGCUAUGGUUUAGCAUCAAGAGGGAAGUUUUGUAAAAGCAACAGGAAGAAUUGCUCAGAUACCCAUGAGCGUAUAUAACUUGGGUCAUGUUACAAAUGCUCUGGCUAAACCUAUUGAUGGGAGAGGCGAAAUUGUAGCUUUCGAAAUCUCGCUUAAUUGAAUCUCCUGCUCCAAGUAGAAUUUCCAGGCGUUCCGUAUAUGAACCUCUUCAAACAGGGCUUAUUGCUAUCGAUUCGAUGAUCCCUAUAGGGCGCGGUCAGCGAGAGUUCAUUAUUGGGGACAGACAGACUGGCAAAACAGCAGUAGCCACAGAUACAAUUCUCAAUCAAAAAGGGCAAGGUGUAAUAUGUGUUUAUGUAGCUAUCGGUCAAAGAGCAUCCUCCGUAGCUCAAGUAGUAACUACUUUCCAUGAGGAGGGGGCCAUGGAAUACACUAUUGUAGUAGCUGAAAUGGCGGAUUCACCUGCUACAUUACAAUACCUCGCUCCUUAUACGGGAGCAGCCCUGGCUCAGUAUUUUAUGUACCACGAAUGGCAUACUUUAAUAAUUUAUGAUGAUCUCUCCAAACAGGCACAAGCUUAUCGCCAAAUGUCCCUUCUAUUAAGAAGACCGCCCGGCCUUGAGGCUUAUCCAGGGGAUGUUUUUUAUUUGCAUUCACGCCUUUUAGAAAGAGCCGCUAAAUUAAAUUCUCUUUUAGGCGAAGGAAGUAUGACCACUUUACCAAUAGUUGAGACUCAAUCUGGAGACGUUUCCGCCUAUAUUCCUACUAAUGUAAUCUCCAUUACAGAUGGACAAAUAUUCUUAUCUGCGGAUCUAUUCCAUGCCGGAAUUCGACCCGCUAUUAAUGUGGGUAUUUCUGUUUCCAGAGUAGGAUCUGCGGCUCAAAUUAAAGCCAUGAAACAAGUAGCUGGCAAAUCCAAAUUGGAACUAGCUCAAUUCGCAGAGUGACAAGCCUAUUAUUCGCCUCUGCUCUCGAUAAAACAAGUCAGAAUCAAUUGGCAAGGGGUCGACGAUUAAGGGAAUUGCUUAAACAAUCCCAGGAAAAUCCUCUCCUAGUGGAAGAGCAGAUAGCUACUAUUUAUACCGGAACAAGAGGAUAUCUUGAUUCGUUAGAAAUUGAAUAGGUAAAGAAAUAGUUCAAUCACCCCAGAAUCGUCAAAAUCCCCUCGAAAUGGAGAGCGGCGCAAGUCCCACACUCUUUCUCUCACUCUCUAUCCUCUGUCUUUCAGAUUUUCCCCUCGUAGCUGAUACUGUGAAAUAUUAUUAUGUAAGGGAGCUGAUCCACAGGAUUCAAUGGUGAAUUCUGAUUUCCCCACAGACUGAACCAAAGGAGAAGAAUAGAAUAAUUCACUGGUGCAGGUGGAGCAGCAAACCUUCGUAGAAAAGGGAGAGGGUAUACCUAGAAAUGAUGAAAUCAACCAGCACUGCCUUGCUAAUUGAAUAAAGGAAGAUGCCGACUACUUUCUAAACAGAACAAUGAGAGUCCUGAACAAUGGGAGAAUGGAGCUUCCCGUCUAUGAACUAAUCGCUAGACUAUAUCGUAUCGAGCUCAAAGGUUUGUGCAACUUAUCUAUCAAGCCACACUUCUUUACUUCGAAAUAGCGCAUUCCACACUUCUUUACUUCGCUAUAGAAGUAGGAUCCCAGCCCACAAUAGAAUCAGUAGUUUACUUAACUGAUAUAAAGAGUUUCCCCUGCCUGCCCCUACUAUCAAUUGAUAAUACAUAAAUGAUCCGGGGCUAGUGUUGGGUAGUCGGGCCCACUAGAAUUCAAGUGCUUCUUAUCGAUUCAAUACGCCCUUAACGGAUCCCCGUGCCUUAUCUCCAUUGGGUGGAGCAAGACCCUUGUCCUAUCUUUUCUUUACAGAGCAAUAGAAAUGAUGGUUGCCCCUCGCUGCACUGACCAAUGAUAUCUCAGAAGAGAGAAAGACUUCUAUAACUUGCCAAUGAUAUCUAGUGGGCACUACGAACUCCAGGCAUACUGUACUUGACCACCCUACUUUGCUUUGUCCCUAUUAGACGAAAUCAAUACUUACUUUCAAUUGGUAGAGAGGAAGAAUAGAACUGACACUAGUAAUAGGUUGAUGACUUCUCUUAACAGAACUGACACUAGUAAUAGGUUGAUGACUUCUCUAACUUAAUAGCUGGCCGACUUCUCUUCAUGGAUCACCGUUCUAUAUAGUUAGGUGCAGCAUCACGUUUAACCACCUAUCCCUAUUCCCUCAAUCGAUACCGUCCAACUAUCCUUUUAUUGGGACAGCAGCAUACUUCUCGUUAGGGACAAUAGUUCCUAUACUUAACUAACCUCUGUGCGCAAUCACUGUUUGACACAUCAUUCUUUCAGCUUUUCGUUCUUGACGACUCUGUUUGACGGAGCCUGACCUUGAACUAGAUUUUUGCAACACAAACCACUAUCUUUACUUUCCUUUAGCAACAGUAUCUAACUAUCAAUUCAUAAGAGUCAAACGGGUGGGUCCAUCCCAUCUAUCGACAGGUCCUGAUAUCGGAUCUGGGAAACAAGCAAUACUCGCCACAAUUCCUUAAUGAAAAACAGACCUAUCUUCUCUUGAAAGACUGUCCUUUCCUCGCUUGUUACUGUGAUAUCAAUGAAAGAAAGCUGGAUACUGACUUCUUCCCAAGAGCUCUAUCAGCCCUGAAUUCCUUAGCCAUACGACUCUUCCUUAGUUUCCUAAUGCUAGUGGCCCUAGCUAGUGGUGAGACGGGGCAUAUACUAUUCUCAGUCUUAUAACGAAGAGGUUGCCUAGUUUGAAGCGAACACUGUCCUUGAUCUCUCGUCCUAUCACAAACAAGUCUCUUCCCCCGAGUCCUAGUAGACUAGUCCAAGUAGUCCGGGACAAUAGCGUCCCGUCUCUUCGCUGACCCCUGGCACACAAUCACUAUAAGACAAAGCAAGACAAACCUCUCUUAUCCUUCUCGGCUAGAAGUUACAAGUUUCCUGUUCCGGUUUCGGCUUGAGGGAAGUGCCUGAAAUCGAUUCAGUUCUUAUCUCCGAUUUCGAACUCCAGCUGGAUUCUUAUGACCAAGAGCUAUUUUAUUGGUCAGAAGAAUGGAAGGACAAUGAGAAGAUGGUUCAGUUGCUCCUGCUGGAAUAUUCCAUUUAUUUAAUACUCCGACUCGCGUAACCCCGAAUGGCAAUGUUGUUAUUGCGGUUGAUCAGAUCAAUAAGACAACAAGGGAGUCAGAAUAUUCUGAUAAUAGCAAACAGGGCUUUGGAAUCUAUGGAAGGAGCCUUCAAUGCUUCUCUAGUGUCAACCAUUAGUCGAUAACAGAAUGAAAUGCCACAAUUAAGUUGAAAAGGAGAGUCAUUAAAAAGAGGCAUGCUUGAAAAAGAGUACAGAUAAUCUGUUAUGGAUGUGAGGAGCCUCACCCAGUACUUUUCAUACUAAACUAAAAAAACUCUACUCUCCUUUCACAGCCAACCCACCCAUUGCUUUUUCAGGCUCGAUAAAAAAGAAAGUUCACGUGCCAAUCCUUACCAUUGGUAACUGUAAUUACCAAGCCUAAUCUUUCACUGAAUACCGAGUAAAGCAAGCAAGAAAGAGGGAAGGAGCAGCUGUUUUUGAGCUAGGCUCGAUCCCUUUUUCAUCCACUUCUCGCUAUUUGUAAUUCUACUUGAAUUAGUUCUUCCUAAGUUUAGUGAGGUGAGUACUGCAUCCAUAACUAGAGGACUUGCUUUUCUGCUUGGCUCCCAGGGGAAGUUGGAUUGGAUAAGAGGAAUUGAAGCGCAAGGAAGGCAGUCGGUAUUCAAACAACUAUUCAGAGUUCCCAACUCUGGGUAAAGGAAAUAUGUACUUGACAACUGAACCAAAUCCUUUGCCUUUAUUUAUUCUAUUAUUUUGAUAUAGAUCAGCUGAAAACAAAACAAAAAUACUACUACGUUGGGACAAUGACCCACCUUUCUCUACUCAACCUGUCAUCUUCUCUCCUCGCUCCCUGGGACAAAUAAGACUAUUUAUUAAGUGAUAAACAAGAGAAACUAGUGAUAUUAUCUAAGCUUCUGGCCAUGUCUGAUUGGCAUUCAAGUCUGCCUUCCAUUGCUUGAAAAGGCCUAGCACCGUAAGUAGCAAUUGGCUAUGUCCAAACUCAAACGUCGUAUUUUAUCUAAGCACAGGAGUCGUAAUAAGGAAAGAAGACAUAAGAAUGGGAAGUAUCCGCUAGUUAUAAUGUAGUAUAAAGAGAGCUAUUUCAUGGAUCUUGGUCACAAUAAAAAGAAUCCAAUAAUGAUCUAUCAACUAAAUGAGUUUAUUAUAUAAUCCUGUAUCUUCAAGGUUGUUAAGAUGAUUUAGUAGAUGUGUCAGUAUCGUUUUCAUCUGCCGUUGGGAGUGAUUGCUUUGCUAAUCUAUCCUUUUAUCCUUCUUUUCAGAGACAAGCACAUAUUACCGUAACCUAGUGAUUAAUAUAUCAUGUUGGUACUACUUCGUCGAGCAAUCAAUCCUUUUUCCAUUCUUGUUCUGAGGUUGUCAGCUUCCUCCGAUGGCACCACUUGUACUCUCUGUCGGAAUCUGUAGACAUAGUUUCUGGGCGUCUUUAAAAACUGAUCGACAUAGUUGUCACACACAAACCUGCGCAACGGCUUUGGAGUAAAAGAAUCUCCUGCCCGGUCACACACAUCAUCUCGAGCGCGGAAUCUACUACUCUAACAAGAUACUCGGCUCGGGUAAAUCAUGCUUUCGUUAUGCGAGGAAAGUGAAAGGAAAGAGGGAAAGGGAGACACUGGGCAAUUUGGAAUCGAUGAAAUCACUGUUUUUUCGCCUUGUAAUAUGUCCGGUUACAUUCCAAAGAUGAAUCAGACCAGGAGAUAGAUAAGCGCUAUCGCGGACACAUGAAAUAAGAAUUUGAAAAGUAAUGAUCAACUUUAUGGAUCCAUAGGUAGAUUCACUUGUGAAGCUAUGGGAUGGGACAAGAUUCAAAAGUACCAAAAGUAAGUUAAGUGGGACGCUGAGUUCAUUGCUGCGAUCGAGGGUCCAAAGCCAGCCAAUUUGAUGACCGCGUAGGAACGGGUUCCGAAUGCUCACAAUAAUGUAGUUGGAAAUGACAAAAGGCUCCUAAAUUGAUACCUAAUAAUAGCUUAGCAGCUCCUUCGUUUUACUAAAGAGCCAAGUUCGGACAAGCAACUCGGAAGGAGGAAUGUGUUGAGAUGCCUAUGCCUAAGAGAGAUAAGCGGAGGACGUAUGAUAGCCGAGAGGAUGUCGGUAAACGACGGAGUUUAAGGAGUUGUUUUUGAAUUCGGCAUGGCAUAUUUCAUUUUUUAAUGAGAACGUCAUCUCCUUGCUUACCCGCCUGGCCAAUGGAAGGAAUUAAUUACCUUGGUCAGUCAGCGAAAGAAAGAACUGAUCCAGUUCAUCAUCCCAAUCCUUCCUAUUAGUUUCAUUAAUUAAUUCAGCCCCAGAGUGUUGGCAAUCAAGGGCCAAGAAAGAAUCCCAAGUCUAUCCUAUCUCGCCACGGUCGAAAGCACAAUCCCUUUCUCUUCCUAUACCGAAAUCGUCGUUUCAUUCCUCCGCAACUUCUAUCGCGGACAUGAUCCAAUCUACCUUGCAAGACAGAUUAAGAUAUAACUUAAGGCUUUCCCAAGCUGGCGCAUAACCUCUGGUAGAGGUAGUCACCCAGAGACAGAGAAGUGGGAAACCGCGGAUGAAAAUAAUACCGAGGUCUUUGAUAGCAAACUUCUACGCGAGCUUUCUAACGAAAAGGAAUCUCUUAUUCAUAUGGCAUAAAAUGGAAAAACUUGAUGGAGAUUUCUUCUCAAUUUCCAUGGUACAGUCCCUUUGCAUGCUACAGUUCCAUUACUUGCUACCUGAAUUUGCUAUAUACGAAAUUAUGACAUCUACGGUACUUGUCGUCUACUUCUGGUGGAAGCAAUUCCAAGGUGAAGAUAAUACUGAGCCGAAUAGUAAUGAGGGGAAUGCAAAAUCUAGCAAAGGUAAGAAGGGUCAAGGAAGAAUAGUAGUGACUUAUAAAAGGAAAGCAUCGAAUAAAAGGAAGGAGAUCCGUCUUGAUUUUUUGCAUGUGGUCAAUGCGUUUGCUGAUUGAUAACUGUCUAAUCUUAAGAUGGUUUUGUGGCACGUUACAAACAUACAUAUACAGUCGAAAUAUAGUUGUGUUGAGUUAGGUUGAAGAAUUUUUACCAGAUUUUUAAAAUGAGAUAUAGUGCUUUCUUUGUUCGAUAGGAGAUUUGGCACUUUCAUAUUCUAGUUCCUCAUUUGAGUGUUCUUUUGCUCUGUUGGUGGGGCAUAAACUCAUAAAUAGUUUUUGUUUUUUCUUUAAAUAAUAGUAAAAGUAUGCAUUCAAGUAGUAGCUUUUUCUAAAUAGUCGAGUAAAGUCGAGUAGGGCUGGCAACAAGGACUAGGAAGAUACGGGCUAGUUUGUUUUUUUAGGGGAAGGCUUUAUGCAAGAUAUGCACGUGAGUAGGUCAGUAUAUGCAUAUUUGCCAAUAGAGGAAAACACGUAGUAAGUAGGCUUGCUUUUUCGUAGGGAUAGGUAGCUUGACAAGGGAUGCCUGGGAUAGCACAUAGGAAAAGUAUAGAAGGAAAGGCGGCGGGAAACUAGCCAUGGUCAAGGUAAACAAGUACUAGGUCUUUUGUUUCCGAAGCAAGUCAAGGACAACUAGGUCAGUCUGGGGGGGCAAUCCUCUAGGUCGAUACUUCUCUUCCACAGACUAAACCAAUUAAUAAACAAUUUACAGAGUAUUCUUGCAUUCCUAUCUAGUCUGCAUCUCUCCUAUCAAAACUAUAAUAUAACCUUAAUGGAAGGGCCCUGGUUCUGCCUUGCCAAACCGACAAAUCCAGAAAUUGUAGAUGAAUUCAUCGGGCUUAACGUGUGAUUUCGUUAUAAGUGAACAGGCGUCGUCGUCCAGCCGUGUCGAGUUGGGAUUAGAGGAGAGAGCUCGAAUGGAUAGGUCCAGUGAGGCGGAUGUGGAGCAUGAAGGAUUAAGAAGGUCCUCUUUAUUUCCAUAAUCAACAAGAAAGACUUAGCAGCCCAAAUAAAGUAACCCUUUACCCCUCCGGAGUCUAUCGUAUCCAUAGUUUCAGUGCGUAUCGAACUGCGAAGCGAGGAAGUUAUUUCAAUUGAACGGGCUUACUUUCUUACUUGGUUCUUUUGUAGAACAACCUUGGUAUGAAGCUAGACGAUUCAAACUAUAUAAGCAUAAGCAAUUCAAACUAGACAUUUCGACCUUCAUCCCACCCGAGAAAUAAUAAGCAAAGAGCUUGUAAGUCGGGCAUAGAGAAAGCGACUCCUGAGAUUGAGGGGGAUAGGAUACUAUCUCCUAGCGCAUAUAUGAAAGGAUAGCUGGUUUUCUACCGGGGGGAUUUCGAUUGUAAUUUUUACAAUUAGUAGUUCUUGCUUUCAUAAACUCAUAGUUAGUGUAGUUUGGUGUAGUCUUUUUUUCCGGGACGAACUGGAUUCGAACCAGAUAAGAGCCAUACGUUCCCUUCUUUCCAAGCGUCCCUUUGGUUUCGCAGUUCCUGAAGAGAGGCAACCUCUAUCUCUUUCUCUGCGGGCCGGUAGGCCGGCCAACUAACUCUUCAAAUGAAGCCCUUUAUCUUUCUAACGAAAAAGAGAAUGAUGAUGAUGGCUACCAUUCAUUCCUCUAAAAUGUUUUAGUCCUGUUUUUGGUAGCAUACCGAUCCUUCCAUGUUUCCAGAAUAGCAUUUAUCUGUCUGGAGUCCUGCGACUCCAAACGAAGUUUUAGUUCUAUCAAAUCCUCCAAGCAAAUGAUAUUCUUUGCAUUACUAUGCAUGAUUUGCUCUAUUCGAUCUUGAUAGCCUGGCAGAUUCCCAGGAUCUGAAAGGACACCAUCGGGAAAAGGCUUUUGCGAUCCUAAAUAAAAUAGUAAUGUCCCAUUCAAACUGGUAUUUAAUUGGAGCAUACCCAGAACGGCGUCCUUAGCAUUACUGUCGGGAUCGUCAGCUGUUGGCGGAGCUGGAUAUUUUUCUCGGAUUUCAGCUAGGGUUCUAGCCAUACUUCUUCGGAAGAGCACGCCCUCAAGUUGUUGCUGGAAUGGAUUUGCUUCGGCCGGAGUAGAGUGGAAAUCUACUGACAGACGAGGCUGUUGCUCUACGCGCGGCUGUUCCUGCUCGAGCUGCUCAUGCUCGGGCGGCUGUUUGUUAAGGUCAAAGUCAUUUCUAUUCAUGAAUGAGACCAGGACCCCUGCCUUGGAGGUUCCCUCCUCCGAACGCGAAGGAGUUUCAAGCCCCCCAGUGCCCACGGUUGCACAUCGGUCCUUCCCCCAAAGGGCCGGUACCAUUUCUUCAAUCAGCGUGGCACCAUAUAUCAAAACAUAUUGUAAAAGUGACAGAAUCACUUCAAGUAGUGCUUGCCUAACCUGAUCUGUCACGAUCAAGGAUGGAUCUACUACUAAAGCAGCUAUCACAAUGAUAACUAUGAAAAGUCCCCCCAUUGAUAAAAACCAGAAUCAGAUGAUAGAUCAAGUCUUACCGAAAUUGGAUUUCCUUUUCGUGCCAUAUGUCGCUUAUACUUUACUUUUUUCCCCUCUGCCCUUUCAAAAGCGGUUACUCCCGAUCCGAAGCACCCCUUUUCCAUUCAUAGAGAGAUCCAAUCGUCAAAAUCAAUAAAAAGGCCAUCAUCGACCAAGAGAACGAGAUAUUGACUUUUUUUACAUCUGUAACUACAUUCUCACAUUUCUUUUUUGAUCUCAUGACUUUUUAUGCGGUCGGAAAACGAAUGAGAUCAGAAAGGCCAUCAUUGGGGAAAACAAUGCAAUAGCUUCGGUGAGAGCAAAGCCCAAAAUGGCAUAACCAAAUGAUUGUUUAGCCAAUGAUGGAUUUCGCGCCACGGAAUGAAUCAAAGAACUUGUAACACCCCGCAUGUAACUUGCCAUAUUUGUAACUCCGACUCUUGCCAUUUUCGGCUAUGUGAUAUGUUUUUCCCUCCGUUGUCGGGUUUUGUUUUUUGUUUUGUAUUUUGUCAUGUCAUGCUUUUUUUUAUCAUGUCAUCAUGUGCAUUGCAUUCGCAUACGUGUUCGUCUCAUGCAUCCGAGCAUUUUCCCCGUUGUCCGUUUUCCAAUCCGGCGCUCCUAUCUCCUCCGGUGCACCCCUCUUGUUUUCUUUUGUGUGCGUGUGUCAAACUUUCUCGGAAUGGACCGAGGCUUGUCAAGUGGUCUUAAUAUACCACCCAGAGACUACCGGUCAAGUUUCGUUCCAUUCGGAGGCCUUUUGGUACUCCAACGGUUAACCGGGCAUCCGCAAAGUCCAUUUGAGUAUCCAGCAAAAAAACCCCUCUAAAACCAGCCCAAAACCCACCAAACUCUCUUCCAUGCUCUAUGCUCUAGGUCGUUCGAUCACGAUCGUGUGGGUGAAAACCGCACCUCAUUUGGAGCCUCCUAGCUCCCUCUAUCUAUUUAUAAGUGGGCAUCCCGAAAAACGCAACUGCAGACGAACCCUAGAAAUUUUCCCACCGCCCGCGCCGGACAUCGUCCGCCGCGCGCCCGGCCAACCGGAGCGCNNNNNNNNNNNNNNNNNNNNNNNNNNNNNNNNNNNNNNNNNNNNNNNNNNNNNNNNNNNNNNNNNNNNNNNNNNNNNNNNNNNNNNNNNNNNNNNNNNNNNNNNNNNNNNNNNNNNNNNNNNNNNNNNNNNNNNNNNNNNNNNNNNNNNNNNNNNNNNNNNNNNNNNNNNNNNNNNNNNNNNNNNNNNNNNNNNNNNNNNNNNNNNNNNNNNNNNNNNNNNNNNNNNNNNNNNNNNNNNNNNNNNNNNNNNNNNNNNNNNNNNNNNNNNNNNNNNNNNNNNNNNNNNNNNNNNNNNNNNNNNNNNNNNNNNNNNNNNNNNNNNNNNNNNNNNNNNNNNNNNNNNNNNNNNNNNNNNNNNNNNNNNNNNNNNNNNNNNNNNNNNNNNNNNNNNNNNNNNNNNNNNNNNNNNNNNNNNNNNNNNNNNNNNNNNNNNNNNNNNNNNNNNNNNNNNNNNNNNNNNNNNNNNNNNNNNNNNNNNNNNNNNNNNNNNNNNNNNNNNNNNNNNNNNNNNNNNNNNNNNNNNNNNNNNNNNNNNNNNNNNNNNNNNNNNNNNCUCGCCGCCGCCGCCAUCGCCGCCGGCCGGCCCAGCCGCCUCCGCCGCUGUAUCUUGCUCUGUUCCCGAUGCGAUAACUUUGUGCAUGUAGCUCCGAUUCGCGCGUGUAAUAUGUUAAAUUGUUCGUCUCGUGAUGCUCUUCAUUUUGUUCAAUUGCACCAUGUUCAUUAGAGGUCAUCUUGAUGCCCAAAUCUUCGUUGUAAGAGGGCUAGUUGCUGUUAAUCUCUGGUUCUUAUCAGAACUUGGAGAUUUGUCAUUUUUGUAUCAUUUAUUCUGUGCAUCUUUUGGGCAUGAGCUCUACAUGUGUUUUGAAGUAUGCCAUGCCAUAUUUCCAGUGGUAUAGUCCAUGUAUUUUUGUGAUCUCUGUGGUGACUAGCACAAGCAUGCAAAGCAGGCCCCGUAAUAUUUCUGAUUUCAGGGACUUAGUGAUUUCUCUAAGUCUUUGUCUGCUGUAAUUUUGUUGCCAUGUAAACUUGAUGCUACAGAGAUAUCCAUGCAUAUUUUGGAGAUGUUCAGUAAGGAUGUUUUGAAGCUAUAGUUGUAGUUGAUCCAUUUCUGCAAUUGUUUGGAAUUUUAGAGUGCCAUAGCAUGACCCAAUCUUUCUCUACGUUUGCUAUAAAAUAUUUCUGGCAGAUUCUUAACAUGACAUGCAUUUUUGCGUUGCUCUGUAGUGAGUGCAUCAAGCUCACAAAGAGGCCUACAUAUUAAUAUUUCUGCCAUGCUCUAUUUUUUUGUUGUCUGAAACCUGAUAACGAAACUUGCUAUGUUUACAUGCUUGCCAUCAUAUCUUCUGGUCCUUUUUGGCUUAUGGUCAUUAAGGGACUUUUGUCAUGUGCAUUUAGUAGAACACUACCAUGCCUUAUUUUGCUAUGUUGAGUUCCUGUAGCAUGUUGAUUUCGUGCUCUGAACAUUGCUACCUGAUGCUGUUUACUGUCAUGUCCAGUUUUUCACUAAGUCUGUGAACCUGUAAUCUUUUGCACUUUUGCCAUGCUUGUUUGAGCUUGAUAUGUUGUGAACUAGCAGUAGCUCAGUGUUCAUCUUUUGUCAAGCAUCUCCUGUAGAUUACUGUCAUGUGCUUUGUUGCUAUGUUGGGUUGCUGUAGCAUUGUUGUUUGUUGCAUUUUAAGUGCUAUCUUGCUGUUUAUCGCAGAUUAGUGUCGUUCUUGUUUUGCUUGCCAUUUGCAAACCGUGCAUCCGAUUCCGGUGAUCUUUAUAUCGAUUUCGACCGAAAUCAUCUCAUCUUUCCAGUGGCAUACUUGGUUUGCCAAGUUACUGCCAUGUUCAUCAUUUUCCUUCCGGAGCACGCAUAUGCAUCGCAUAUCAUAUCUUGCAUAUCAUACAUGUCUUGUAUCAUGUUGCUUGCGCAUUUCUCGUUGUUGAUUGUGGUUCCGUUUGUUUGUGUUCUUGUCUUGGGUAGAGCCGGGAGACGAGUUCGUGAACGAGGAACCUGUCGAGUACGCUUACGAGGAUCAAGCUUUCGACAACUCUGAGAAUCUUGCAGGCAAGAUGACCACCCCUCGAAAUCACUUCUAUCUUUGCUAUGCUAGUUGUUCGCUCUAUUGCCAUGCUCGCUACCUAUCACUUGCUAUAUCAUGUCUCCUAUUUUUAGCCAUGUCAGCCUCUAACCAUCCUCUCCUAGCAAACCGUUGUGUGGCUAUGUUACCGCGUUUGCUCAGCCCCUCUUAUAGCGUUGCUAGUUGCAGGUGAAGUUGAAGUUUGUUCCAUGUCGGAACAUGGAUAUGUUGGGAUAUCACAAUAUCUCUUAUUUAAUUAAUGCAUCUAUAUAUUUUGGUAAAGGGUGGAAGGCUCGGCCUUAUGCCAGGUGUUUUGUUCCACUCUUGCCGCCCUAGUUACUGUUAUGCCGGGAUUAUGUUCCUUGAGUUUGCGUUCCUUACGCGGUCGGGUGAUUUAUGGGACCCCCUUGACAGUUCGCCUUGAAUAAAACUCCUCCAGCAAGGCCCAACCUUGGUUUUACCAUUUGCUACCUAAACCUUUUCCCCCGGGUUUUCGCGAGCCCGAGGGUCAUCUUAUUUUAACCCCCCCGGGCCAGUGCUCCUUCGAGUGUUGGUCCGAACUGAGCAGACUGCGGGGCCCCCUCCUGGAAACUCGAGGUCUGGUUUUACUCGUAGGAUGUCUCAUCCGGUGUGCCCUGAGAACGAGAUAUGUGCAGCUCCUAUCGGGAUUUGUCGGCACAUUCGGGUGGCUUUGCUGGUCUUGUUUUACCAUUGUCGAGAUGUCUUGUAAACCGGGAUUCCGAGACUGAUCGGGUCUUUCCGGCUGAAGGUUUAUCCUUCGUUGACCGUGAGAGCUUAUGAUGGGCUAAGUUGGGACACCCCUGCAGGGUAUUAUCUUUCGAAAGCCAUGCCCGCGGUUAUGAGGCAGAUGGGAAUUUAUUAAUGUCCGGUUGUAGAUAACUUGUCACUUGACCUAAUUAAAAUACACCAAGUGCGUGUGUAGCCGUGAUGGUCUCUUCUCGGCGGAGUCCGGGAAGUGAACACGGUCUGUGUUAUGGAUGACGUAAGUAGGUGUUCAGGAUCACUUCUUGAUCAUCGCUAGAUGACGUCCGUUCCGUUGCUUCUCUUCUCGCUCUCAUUUGCGCAAGUUAGCCACCAUAUAUGCUUUUGCCGCUGCAGCUCCACCUCUUUGCACCUCCUUGUCCUAUAAGCUUAAAUAGUCUUGAUCUCGCGGGUGUGAGAUUGCUGAGUCCCCGUGACUCACAGAUACUUCCAAAACAGUUGCAGGUGUCGACGAUGCCAGUGCAGAUGAUGGCGUCGAUCUCAAGUGGGAGUUCGACAAGGAACGUGGUCGUUAUUAUGUGUCUUUUCCUGAUGAUCAGUAGUGGAGCCCAGUUGGGACGAUCGGGGAUCUAGCAUUUGGGGUUGUCUUAUUUUCAUCUGGAUUUUGACCGUAGUCGGUCUAUAUGAUUGUAUUUUGGAUGAUGUAUUGAAUUAUUUUUAUGUAUUGUGUGAAGUGGCGAUUGUAAGCCAACUCUUUAUCCCAUUCUUGUUCAUUACAUGGGAUUGUGUGAAGAUGACCCUUCUUGCGACAAAACCACUAUGCGGUUAUGCCUCUAAGUCGUGCCUCGACACGUGGGAGAUAUAGCCGCAUCGUGGGCGUUACAAGUUGGUAAUCAGAGCCAUCCCCGACUUAGGAGCCCCCUGCUUGAUCGAAUCGUGGCAUUGUUGAGUCUAGAAUAAAAAAUGUUUUGAGUCUUAGGAUUAUAUAUAUCGGAGAGUAGGAUUCUUUUUACUCCUCAGCCCCUUCGUCGCUCUGGUGAGGUCUCCUGACGUAGAAGUUUUGACUACUCUCUCCUCAAAUUUCACUAAAAAAAAUUUGGAUCACGCGGGUAUCUUGGAAUCGUUCCGAUCGAUUUGUGACGAGAACAUUGUUCUUGGUGCCUCCUGUCAUUUAGGGGUUGUGGCAGUGUCCCGGGGAGUUGAGCUCCGAGGUGUUGUCGUCACAAUUUUAUCGUUGCAGUUCUGGAAUACCUGGGUUUCGCCGACAUCGAAAUCUCUUUUAUGCAGUUGUUGGUGAGAUCACCUCGACGCCACCCAGUACUGGGGCGGGAGUUCGGGAGUAUUGCCAUAACUUGUAUAACGGAUGUUUUUCGAAGGUUGAGGUAAACGAUUUCCGAAGGUUUCUUGGUUAUGUGUUCACGGAUGGAUACAGCUAGAUCUAGGGAUUGCUAGUUUGGGUGAUAUAUAUUUGUGUCCCCUGUAUCCCCUACACCAGAUUGCAUAACCAGAAAGUUUCGGGAAUUUAUAAGUGGGAAUUCAAGUAGCCUUAGGAUAUCUUUCCGACAGACGCAUGAUAUGAGAUUGGGGUUCGACGUCUAGUGGUCCGCCUGUAUACGGUUGAUUUUACAGUGGUCUCGUUGUGUCUUAAAGAGUCCAUGGCUUUGCCGACUCGGGGACGCUUCGUAUGUCAUGUGCACAGCCUUGUACAUGAUGGUGCUGUACGAUUGAGCCCGUGUGGGCCCCACCACGAAAACUUCGGACGAAAUAUCUAUCAUAUGUUUGUUCCGGCUUAUUCUGCAAGCCAAUACUUGGUUUUAUUUUGUAUUGUGGUAUUCGAGUUGCUUCGAAUUCAUAUGUUCAUUCCAUAUCUUUUUCAAGUGGCUUCUCAACUUAUGGAAGUGUGAUGAUUUACUACGGAAUUCAUUCGCUCAUCUUCGUUCGAAUGUUUGUUGUGAAGACUAUAUGUUGCAAUUUCUGUCCGUUGAUUCUACUUAUCUAUUUGUCUAUCAAGAUGCUAACGGAUGUCACCCUCUUCAGGAUGGCUCCGCCAACGCGUCAGAAUCCGGAUCGCAAUGAAGGGAGUCAAGCGAACCCUCCGCCACCACCUCCACCUCCGGAGGCAUGGCAAGCAAUCAUGGCAGCCACCAACGCCAAUGCUCAGAUGAUUCUGCAACUCUUGCAAGAACGUACUCAAGGGCAAGGCAAUCAAGGCAAUCAAGGUCAAGGCAACAAUCAGUUUCACUUUGCCACUCUCAACCAGUUUCUCGCAAAUCAGCCCAAGUCUUUCAGCUAUUGUGCCGAGGCCACGGAUGCCGAUGAUUGGCUCGUGGACAUCAACAAGCAUUUUGAAUGUAGCAAUGUCAGGCCUGAGGACUUUGUCAAGUUCGCUUCUUUCCAGCUCAAGGACCAAGCUGCUGAUUGGUUCCAGCAAAACAAAGAUUCCAGAGGAGGUCGUGUGAUCACUUGGACUGACUUCUGUCGGGACUUCAAAGCGCACCACAUUCCACAAAGUGUUGUCGAGAGCAAGCGUGAGGAGUUCCGCAAUCUCAAGCAAGGAAACAUGUCUGUGUAUCAAUACAACAUUCAGUUUCAGAAACUUGCUCGCUUCGCUAAACAAGACGUUCCUGAUGAGAAGAGCAUGAUCUAUCACUUUAGAGGUGGCCUUAAAGAGGAUCUGCAGUUAGCUCUUGUUCUUGUUGAGCCUACUCACUUUGAUCAAUUCUACAAUAUGGCACUGAAGCAAGAGGCUGCUCAGCUCAAGUGUGAGGCCUCUAAGAAAAGAGUCAGGGACCCAGUUCAGUCUUCUUCUUCCUCACUUGUGACAGCUAAGCAACAGAAGUUCUGGUUGCCUCCUCCUCCUCCGUUUCGUCAGCCUUACCAGCAGAAGAACAAAGGUGGCCAUGGUUCUUCAAACUCUUCCAACUCUGGCUAUCAGAACAAGUCUCAGAAUCAAGCUCCCAAGUCCAAUGCUCCUUAUCACCGUCCACUCUCAGAGGUGACUUGCAACAAAUGUCAGCAGAAAGGUCACUAUGCUAACAAGUGCUUCAACCAGAGGCGUCUUCCUCCUCCUCCUGUCAGAUCUUCCAGCAAUGCAGUGGUCAAGCUUAACCCAAAGUUUGCAAAGGUGAACAUGAUGAAUGCAGCCCAAGCGGAGGAAUCUACUGAUGUGAUAAUGGGUAAUCUCUCAAUUAAUGAUAUUCCUGCAAAAAUUCUUUUUGAUAUUGGUGCAUCGCAUUCUUUCUUGUCAUACCCAUUUGCAUCGAAGCACAAUGUUGACACAGAGAUUUUAUCCAAAGUUAUGCAAGUUGUUUCUCCGGGUAAGCUUUUGUCGUCUAGUUUGGUUGCUCCCGAUGUCUCCAUCAAGAUGGGCGACUAUAGAUUCCAGUCUUCUCCAAUUGUUCUUGGUGACUCGGAUAUUGAUCUUAUUCUCGGGAUGGACUGGCUUUCUAAGCACAAGGCUCAACUUGAUUGUGCUGCCAGGGAAAUUCAAUUGACACACUCGUCUGAGGAUGUGAUUGUUUUUGCCGCUCGUGAUGAAACCAUUCGGUUUUUCUCUCUCAAUGAGAAGGGCGAAUUGGAUGCCAUCUCUCAAAUUCCAGUCGUUUGCGAGUAUCAAGAUGUCUUUCCAGAAGAGCUUCCGGGUAUGCCUCCGCACCGGCCAGUUGAGUUCGUUAUCGAACUAGAGCCCGGUAUUGUACCCGUUUGCAAGCGUCCAUACAAGCUUGGACCCAACGAGCUGAAGGAAUUGAAGAAGCAGCUCGAUGAACAAGAACGUCUGGGUUUGAUCAGACCGAGUUCUUCUCCAUGGGGUUGUGGUGUUCUUUUUGUCAAGAAGAAGGAUGGCACGGACCGACUUUGUGUCGACUACCGUCCAUUGAACAAGAAGACAAUCAAGAACAAGUAUCCACUUCCCAACAUCAAUGAGCUUUUUGAGCAACUCAAAGGGGCUAAAGUAUUCUCGAAGCUUGACCUUCGUAUGGGUUAUCAUCAGAUUCGCAUUCAUGAAGAAGAUAUUCCCAAGACAGCAUUCAGAACAAGCUUUGGUUCUUAUGAAUAUACUGUCGUGUCUUUCGGCCUUGUCAAUGCUCCUCCGGUGUUCUCUCGGAUGAUGAAUUUCAUCUUCAACCCCUAUACCAAUGAAUUCGUUCUGGUGUAUCUCGAUGAUACCUUGGUCUUCUCCAAGAACAAGCAGGAUCACGCCAAACAUUUGCGAUUGGUGCUCGACAAGCUCAGAGAGUAUCAAUUCUAUGCGAAGUUCUCCAAAUGUGAGUUUUGGCUCGAUGAAGUUCUUUUCCUUGGUCACAUCAUCUCUGCCAAAGGCAUCGCUGUUAACCCCGAGAAGGUGUCCGCAGUUCUGGAUUGGGAACCUCCUCAAAAUGUCUAGCAGCUCCGCAGUUUUCUGGGUCUUGCAAGUUAUUGCCGAAGAUUCGUUGAGAAUUUUUCCAAGAUUGCAAAGCCUCUUUCCAACCUCCUACAGAAGCAUGUGAAAUAUGUCUGGUCUCCUGAGUGUGACGUUGCUUUCAACACUCUCAAAGAGAAACUAGUCACAGCUCCUGUCUUGACUCCUCCUGAUGAAUCCAAGCCGUAUGAAGUUUUCUGUGAUGCUUCUCUCCAAGGUCUCGGUGCUGUGUUAAUGCAAGAGAAGAAAUUUGUGGCCUAUACCUCUCGGCAGUUGAAGCCCAACGAGAAGAACUACCCCACUCACGAUCUUGAGUUGGCGGCGGUUGUCCAUGCAUUGGUUACGUGGAGACAUCUCUUGUUGGGAAGACAAGUGGACAUUUUCACUGAUCACAAGAGUCUCAAGUAUAUCUUCACUCAGCCCAACCUCAACCUCAGGCAGACUCGAUGGGUCGAAAUGAUUCAAGAGUACAAUCCGAGUAUCGAAUAUACUCCAAGCAAGGCUAAUGUCAUUGCAGAUGCUUUAAGCAGGAAAGCUUAUUGCAACAGCUUAAUUAUCAAGCCUUUCCAACCGGAUCUUUGUGAAGCUUUCCGCAAGCUGAAUCUCCAAGUUGUUCCUCAAGGCGUUCUUGCCAACCUCAUAGUAUCUCCUACUCUGGAAGAUCAAAUUCGUGAGGCACAACUCCUUGAUGCCAUGGUGAAGAAGGUGAAACGUGGUAUCGACAAGGGUCUUUCCAAAUACAAGUGCUAUCGCAUUGAUGACAGAGACACUUUGUUCUUCGAGGACCGGAUUGUGGUUCCGAAAGGUGAUCUAAGGAAAGUCAUAAUGAACGAAGCGCACAAUUCUCUCCUUUCCAUUCAUCCUGGAAGUACGAAGAUGUAUCAUGACCUCAAGCAGUCGUAUUGGUGGACUCGAAUGAAGCGAGAAAUUGCUCAAUUCGUGAAUGAAUGUGAUGUCUGCCGAAGAGUUAAAGCAGAACACCAACGACCAGCUAGUCUCCUCCAACCUCUUGCUAUCCCAGAAUGGAAGUUUGAUCAUAUCGAAAUGGACUUCGUGACUGGUUUUCCAAAGUCUAAGCGCGGAAAUGAUGCUAUCUUCGUUGUCAUCGACAAGCUUUCUAAAGUGGCUCAUUUCCUUCCAAUCAAAGAAUCCAUCACAGCAGCUCAGCUGGCAGAGCUCUACACCUCCAGAAUUGUCUCCUUGCACGGCAUUCCACAAUUGAUUUCUUCAGAUCGUGGAAGCAUCUUCACCUCUAAGUUCUGGGACUCCUUCCAGAAGGCCAUGGGCACAAAUAUUCGCUUCAGCACAGCUUUCCAUCCUCAAACUAGUCGCCAAGUCGAGCGAGUCAAUCAAAUUCUUGAAGAUAUGCUCAGGGCUUGUGUCAUUUCCUUUGGCAUAAAAUGGGAAGAUUGUCUUCCAUAUGCUGAAUUCUCCUACAACAACAGCUUCCAAGCGAGUUCGGGCAAGGCCCCAUUCGAGAUUCUCUAUGGCAGAAAGUGCCGUACUCCUCUUAAUUGGUCAGAGACUGGUGAACGCCAACUUCUUGGCAAUGACUUAAUCACUGAAGCUGAAGAAAUGUGUAAAGUCAUCCGUGAUAAUCUCAAAGCCGCGCAAUCGCGCCAGAAGAGCUACUAUGAUAGUAAGCAUCGUGAUUCGGCUUUCGAGAUCAGAGACCAUGUCUACCUCCGCGUCUCUCCAAUGAAAGGCACUCGUCGCUUCGGUAUCAAAGGGAAGCUUGCCCCUAGAUACGUGGGUCCUUUCAAGAUCAUUGGCAAAAGAGGCGACCUCGCCUAUCAACUUGAGCUUCCUUCCAACUUCGCGAACGUGCACGAUGUGUUCCACGUGUCACAGCUCCGCAAGUGCUUCAAGACGCCUGAGCGCACUAUCGACUUCGAAGAGAUUGACCUCCAAGAAGAUUUGUCUUAUCAUGAGCACCCAGUUGCUAUUCUUGAAGAAGCUGAGCGCAAGACUCGCAACAAGUCUAUCAAAUUCCUGAAAAUGAAGUGGUCGCACCAUUCCGACCGGGAAGCCACCUGGGAACGCGAGGACCAUCUCCGUUCCGAAUAUCCGGAGUUCUUUCAGUCCUAGAUCUCGGGACGAGAUCCUCUCGUGGUGGUGGAGUGUUGUAACACCCCGCAUGUAACUUGCCAUAUUUGUAACUCCGACUCUUGCCAUUUUAGGCUAUGUGAUAUGUUUUUCCCUCCGUUGUCGGGUUUUGUUUUUCGUUUUGUAUUUUGUCAUGUCAUGCAUUUUUUUUAUCAUGUCAUCAUGUGCAUUGCAUUCGCAUACGUGUUCGUCUCAUGCAUCCGAGUAUUUUCCCCGUUGUCCGUUUUCCAAUCCGGCGCUCCUAUCUCCUCCGGUGCACCCCUCUUGUUUUCUUUCGUGUGCGUGUAUCAAACUUUCUCGGAAUAGACCGAGGCUUGUCAAGUCGUCUUAAUAUACCACCCGGAGACUACCGGUCAAGUUUCGUUCCAUUCGGAGGCCGUUUGGUACUCCAACGGUUAACCGGGCAUCCGCAAAGCCCAUUUGAGUAUCCAGCAAAAACCCCCUCUAAAACCAGCCCAAAACCCACCAAACUCUCUUCCAUGCUCUAGGUCGUUCGAUCACGAUCGUGUGGGCGAAAACCGCACCUCAUUUGGAGCCUCCUAGCUCCCUCUACCUAUUUAUAAGUGGGCAUCCCGAAAAACGCAACUGCAGACGAACCCUAGAAAUUUUCCCACCGCGCCGCCGGACGCGUCCGCCCGCGCCGGACAUCGUCCGCCGCGCGCCCGGCCAACCGGANNNNNNNNNNNNNNNNNNNNNNNNNNNNNNNNNNNNNNNNNNNNNNNNNNNNNNNNNNNNNNNNNNNNNNNNNNNNNNNNNNNNNNNNNNNNNNNNNNNNNNNNNNNNNNNNNNNNNNNNNNNNNNNNNNNNNNNNNNNNNNNNNNNNNNNNNNNNNNNNNNNNNNNNNNNNNNNNNNNNNNNNNNNNNNNNNNNNNNNNNNNNNNNNNNNNNNNNNNNNNNNNNNNNNNNNNNNNNNNNNNNNNNNNNNNNNNNNNNNNNNNNNNNNNNNNNNNNNNNNNNNNNNNNNNNNNNNNNNNNNNNNNNNNNNNNNNNNNNNNNNNNNNNNNNNNNNNNNNNNNNNNNNNNNNNNNNNNNNNNNNNNNNNNNNNNNNNNNNNNNNNNNNNNNNNNNNNNNNNNNNNNNNNNNNNNNNNNNNNNNNNNNNNNNNNNNNNNNNNNNNNNNNNNNNNNNNNNNNNNNNNNNNNNNNNNNNNNNNNNNNNNNNNNNNCCUCCCCCGGCGACCGGCGCCACCGCCUCGCCCUUCUCCUCCUCCGGCCAGGCCCGCCGGCCCCUGCCUCGUCGUCGCCGUCGGCAGCUCGAGGAGCUCGGGUUCGAUCCGAUCUGGUGAGACCCGUUGACUUCCCUCGCGCCCGUUUUUUCCCAAGUCUUGAGAUUUCCUCAGUAUCUUGCCCUGUUCCCGAUGCGAUAACUUUGUGCAUGUAGCUCCGAUUUGCGCGUGUAAUAUGUCAAAUUGUUCGCCAAGUGAUGCUCUUCAUUUUGUUCAAUUGCGCCAUAUUCAUUAGAGGUCAUCUUGAUGCCCAAAUCAUCGUUGUAAGAGGGCUAGUUGCUGUUAAUCUCUGGUUCUUAUCAGAACUUGGAGAUUUGUCAUUUUUGUAUCAUUUAUUCUGUGCAUCUUUUGGGCAUGAGCUCUACAUGUGUUUUGAUGUAUGCCAUGCCAUCUUUCCAGUGGUAUAGUCCAUGUAUUUUUGUGAUCUCUGUGGUGACUAGCACAAGCAUGCAAAGCAGGCCCCGUAAUAUUUCUGAUUUCAGGGCCUUAGUGAUUUCUCCAAGUCUUUGUCUGCUGUAAUUUUGUUGCCAUGUAAACUUGAUGCUACAGAGAGAUCCAUGCAUAUUUUGGAGAUGUUCAGUACGUAUGUUUUGAAGCUAUAGUUGUAGUUGAUCUAUUACUGCAAUUGUUUGCAAUUUUAGAGUGCCAUAGCAUGACCCAAUCUUGGUCUACGUUUGCAAUAAAAUAUUUCUGGCAGAUUCUUAACAUGACAUGCAUUUUUGCCAAACUUAUUGUAGUUUAUCCAUACAUGCUAUGCAAUUGUUCUUGCCAUGAAUAGCUUCAUAAACAUACCAUCUUGCGGUAGGUAUGCUUGGUUUGUCAUGCAUUGCUCUGUAGUGAGUGCAUCAAGCUCACAAAGAGGCCUACAUAUUAAUAUUUCUGCCAUGCUCUGUUUUUCUGUUGUCUGAAACCUGAUAACGAAACUUGCUAUGUUUACAUGCUUGCCAUCAUAUCUUCUGGUCCUUUUUGGCUUAUGGUCAUUAAGGGACUUUUGUCAUGUGCAUUUAGUAGAACACUACCAUGCCUUAUUUUGCUAUGUUGAGUUCCUGUAGCAUGUUGAUUUCGUGCUCUGAACAUUGCUACCUGAUGCUGUUUACAGUCAUGUCCAAUUUUUCACUAAGUCUGUGAACCUGUAAUCUUUUGCACUUUUGCCAUGCUUGUUUGAGCUUGAUAUGUUGUGAACUAGCAGUAGCUCAGUGUUCAUCUUUUGUCAAGCAUCUCCUGUAGAUUACUGCCAUGUGCUUUGUUGCUAUGUUGGGGUGCUGUAGCAUUGUUGUUUGUUGCAUUUUAAGUGCUAUCUUGCUGUUUAUCGCAGAUUAGUGUCGUUCUUGUUUUGCUUGCCAUUUGCAAACCGUGCAUCCGAUUCCGGUGAUCUUUAUAUCGAUUUCGACCGAAAUCAUCUCAUCUUUCCAGUGGCAUACUUGGUUUGCCAAGUUACUGCCAUGUUCAUCAUUUUCCUUCCGGAGCACGCAUAUGCAUCGCAUAUCAUAUCUUGCAUAUCAUACAUGUCUUGUAUCAUGUUGCUUGCGCAUUUCUCGUUGUUGAUUGUGGUUCCGUUUGUUUGUGUUCUUGUCUUGGGUAGAGCCGGGAGACGAGUUCGUGAACGAGGAACCUGUCGAGUACGCUUACGAGGAUCAAGCUUUCGACAACUCUGAGAAUCUUGCAGGCAAGAUGACCACCCCUCGAAAUCACUUCUAUCUUUGCUAUGCUAGUUGUUCGCUCUAUUGCCAUGCUCGCUACCUAUCACUUGCUAUAUCAUGUCUCCUAUUUUUAGCCAUGUCAGCCUCUAACCAUCCUCUCCUAGCAAACCGUUGUGUGGCUAUGUUACCGCGUUUGCUCAGCCCCUCUUAUAGCGUUGCUAGUUGCAGGUGAAGUUGAAGUUUGUUCCAUGUCGGAACAUGGAUAUGUUGGGAUAUCACAAUAUCUCUUAUUUAAUUAAUGCAUCUAUAUAUUUUGGUAAAGGGUGGAAGGCUCGGCCUUAUGCCAGGUGUUUUGUUCCACUCUUGCCGCCCUAGUUACUGUUAUGCCGGGAUUAUGUUCCUUGAGUUUGCGUUCCUUACGCGGUCGGGUGAUUUAUGGGACCCCCUUGACAGUUCGCCUUGAAUAAAACUCCUCCAGCAAGGCCCAACCUUGGUUUUACCAUUUGCUACCUAAACCUUUUCCCCCGGGUUUUCGCGAGCCCGAGGGUCAUCUUAUUUUAACCCCCCCGGGCCAGUGCUCCUUCGAGUGUUGGUCCGAACUGAGCAGACUGCGGGGGCCCCUCCUGGAAACUCGAGGUCUGGUUUUACUCGUAGGAUGUCUCAUCUGGUGUGCCCUGAGAACGAGAUAUGUGCAGCUCCUAUCGGGAUUUGUCGGCACAUUCGGGUGGCUUUGCUGGUCUUGUUUUACCAUUGUCGAGAUGUCUUGUAAACCGGGAUUCCGAGACUGAUCGGGUCUUUCCGGGUGAAGGUUUAUCCUUCGUUGACCGUGAGAGCUUAUGAUGGGCUAAGUUGGGACACCCCUGCAGGGUAUUAUCUUUCGAAAGCCGUGCCCGCGGUUAUGAGGCAGAUGGGAAUUUGUUAAUGUCCGGUUGUAGAUAACUUGUCACUUGACCCAAUUAAAAUACACCAAGUGCGUGUGUAGCCGUGAUGGUCUCUUCUCGGCGGAGUCCGGGAAGUGAACACAGUCUGUGUUAUGGAUGACGUAAGUAGGUGUUCAGGAUCACUUCUUGAUCAUCGCUAGAUGACGUCCGUUCCGUUGCUUCUCUUCUCGCUCUCAUUUGCGCAAGUUAGCCACCAUAUAUGCUUUUGCCGCUGCAGCUCCACCUCUUUGCACCUCCUUGUCCUAUAAGCUUAAAUAGUCUUGAUCUCGCGGGUGUGAGAUUGCUGAGUCCCCGUGACUCACAGAUACUUCCAAAACAGUUGCAGGUGUCGACGAUGCAGUGCAGAUGAUGGCGUCGAUCUCAAGUGGGAGUUCGACGAGGAACAUGGUCGUUAUUAUGUGUCUUUUCCUGAUGAUCAGUAGUGGAGCCCAGUUGGGACGAUCGGGGAUCUAGCAUUUGGGGUUGUCUUAUUUUCAUCUGGAUUUUGACCGUAGUCGGUCUAUAUGAUUGUAUUUUGGAUGAUGUAUUGAAUUAUUUUUAUGUAUUGUGUGAAGUGGCGAUUGUAAGCCAACUCUUUACCCCAUUCUUGUUCAUUACAUGGGAUUGUGUGAAGAUGACCCUUCUUGCGACAAAACCACUAUGCGGUUAUGCCUCUAAGUCGUGCCUCGACACGUGGGAGAUAUAGCCGCAUCGUGGGCGUUACAGAACUGAGGACGUUUCCAAUACCGACAGCAGCUCCGGCUAAAGCAAUUGUAGCAGCUCCGGCACCUAUUGAUUUAGCACCUGCUAACAUCUCGAGUCGAGAAAACACUUUUCUUGUCACGUUUUUCCUUCGUUGUUCUUUCUUGGAUUUCUUGUUGAUGAUUCGAAGUACUUGGGCCUGCACCUCCAUAAUUUUCAAAUAUUGGGUUAUGCGGACCACUAAUUUGAUACAUAUUAUCACAAUUUGCCAGGCUUGUCACAUAUUAAAGAAAAUAAGCUGUGGAUUGAAAAUCAUCAGGGAUAGGUAAUCAUCAGGUAUAGGUAUAGGUAGGGGGUCCGUCAACCCUUGUGGGGCUGGGUGGGGUAUCCUGAACUACUGGAGCAGCUCCCCCUUGUGGCUGGGGUAGACUCUCAGCAGCUUGGUUUAUGCAUGGCACGAAAAUCUAUCUUUAAUAAUUAUGUACAAAAAGUCCAAAACAGCCUAUUGGGGUUCAGUUGGCGAGAAAAGCCUUCUUCCUACAUUUGCGAGUAAGGGGCAACCUUUUUUAUUAAUUCACAGGUAAGGCAAAGUGCUUUCUUUUAAAGAAGCAUCUGGUUCCAUCUUUCUUUCGUUAGUUAAGCCACCUUUUUCUAAGAAGGAUUUUUGUAAUUCAGGAUUAAUAGUACUUAGAAUGGCUUUUUCAUAUUGAGAAAUUCUGUCUAGUGGCAUUCGAUCACAGAAGCCGUUGACAGCAGCAUAAAUCACAACAAUUUGUUUUUCAAUUGGAAGGGGUUCAUAUUGUGGUUGUUUGGGCACUUCUGUAAGCCUUGCACCUCUAUUGAGUAAUGCCUGAGUCGCAGCAUCAAGGUCUGACCCAAAUUGAGCGAAGGCGGCCACUUCACGAUAUUGUGCCAAUUCCAGUUUUGAACUACCGCAGACUUGUUUCAUAGCUUUCAACUGAGCGGCAGACCCGACGUGACUGACGGAUAAGCCAACGUUAAUAGCUUGUCUAAUUCCGUGAUAAAAGAGCACUGUUUCCAAACAGAUUUGUCCAUCUGUAAUGGAGAUCACAUUGGUGGGGAUAUAGGCCGAUACGUCUCCAGCUUGUGUUUCAAUCACGGGUAACGCAGUUGAGCUACCUGCACCUGUCUGGUCCGAUCAUUUAGCGGCUCUUUCUAAGAAACGGGAAUGUAAAUAGAAAACAUCCCCUGGGAAAGCCUCACGGCCUGGUGGUCGGCGUAACAAUAAUGACAUUUAUUGAUAUGCCACCGCCUGUUUACUUAGAUCAUCAUAUAUAAUUAAUGCAUGCAUUCCAUUAUCACGAAAAUAUUCACCCAUGGCACACCCUGAAUAUGGGGCCAGAAAUUGCAGAGGAGCAGGAUCCGAAGCGGUGGCUGCUACAAGAAUGGAAUAUUCCAAAGCAUUCGCUUCUGAAAGAAUUUGAACUAAUUAUGCCACAGUCGAGCGUUUUUGUCCAAUCGCAACAUAGACACAAUACAAUGUCUCACUCUCAUUUGUGCCCCUUGAGUUCAUUUGCUUUUGGUUUAAUAUAGUAUCGAUAGCUAUUGCAGUUUUUCCAGUUUGUCUGUCCCCGAUUAUAAGUUCUCGUUGACCACGGCCUAUAGGAACCAGGCUAUCCACUGCUUUUAAGCCUGUUUGCAUGGGUUCGUGCACAAAUUUACGUUCAAUAAUCCCCAGGGCUUUCACUUCGAGACGUCUUCGUUCGUGAUCGCUUAGAGCCCCUUUUCCAUCAAUAGGUACUCCCAAGGCGUCGACCACACGGCCUAACAUGGCCUUUCCCGCAGGAACAUCCACAAUAGAUCCAGUGCGCUUGACAAGAUCUCCUUUAAUAGCGGUAUCACUACCAAAGACAACAAUACCUACAUUCUCAUUCUCAAGAUUUAAGGCGAUUCCUUUCACACCGCUGGCAAAUUCCACUAUUUCUCCUGCUUGAAUCUCGUUCAAUCCAUAAACACGUGCAAUCCCAUCUCCAACUGAGACCGCUCGACCGAUCUCAUCCACUUGAAAAUUUGUGUAAAAUUUGGUCAUUCUACUUUCUAAUAGAGUCAUGAGUUCCGCAGCUCUGGGUGAGAAUUCCAUACUUUAACAAAUUAGAUGGAUGAUAUUUUGAAGGGAGAAAUCCGCUUUCAAGAAAAAGAUCUUUACUUCACACAAUCUCGAUUUGACUUAUCAUUUGGUGAAUCGGGCAUCUCGGACAAAGACAAUAACAAGAAGAGAUGGGAAGACCCUUCGCGGUCCUGCUCUCUGGUCUCUACCUUGCUUACCGCCCCUCGUAGGGCCCAGCGUACCCAUACCGAAAACGAUUUACUCUUUUUAUGGGUGCUUUCGACUAGGCUCUCGUUAAGGAAUCGGCCCAAACAAGACCGAGAUUCCCGCGAGAAUUGCUACGCUGCCUGCAGUGAAAUUGCAAGAAUCACUUUAUAUGCUAUUUCGAAAUCGAAUGAAUUGAGCAACUGUAUUUCCCUAGGUUUCCAUUGCAAAAGGGGCUUUUUUUUGUAUGCAAGUGAUGAUCGAUCGGCGGAGAAGCCGCUCCCGUGUGGGGUGGCUGUGAGAAUGAUUCCGAGUCUUCCUGACCAGACCCAUGUGGAACUUGUAAAUAAAUGGGUUUGUAAGUGCCUAGCUGAGUAAUAAGAUAAGUACCUUUGCUAAUAAUCCAAAACCUUUCAUCUUCUCUUUCUAGAUAUAGCAGCCUACCCAUAUUGAUAGUGGAAUUAUUUAUCUCCUCUUUCGGAUAGCCCAUUUUGAAUAAGUGUUAUGGGUAAGGGCUUGACCUAGCAGUUGAAUGGAAUCUACAGUUCUUUAUGCUCUCGCUAGCUUUGAACUUGUUUGUACCAGUAAUCAAACCCAGAAUCUCAUUUCCCAUUGCUUUCAUCGCAUAGAGCCAGAUGCCGCAUCCACAAGCCUAUUUAGUAAGCGGGGUGUAUCCUUGGUGACACUUGAGAAAUAAUCCUAUACUUCCAAUAACCCACUACUUCCUCCACGGAUGGUACAUGGCAAGCAUCUGCCGAAACUAGAGGCGAGCACUUUUCAAUCAAUUACGAGAGGCAUUCGCUUCUCUGAUCUUUAAUAAGCGAAGCAACGAGCCUAGUAGGGGAAAUACCUUCCUCAGGAAUGUCAUCAAAGCCAGGUUCUCCAAUCGUAAAAGGGAAUAUUCCAUGGCACAAGGGUUGUUUUUAGGUGCUGUCCUCGGCAGACCACCACAAAAGGUCUGAAUCAGGCGAAACUUCUUUUGGUGCCAGCGAGAAGUAGUAACAAGAACUCCUCCUCUGUUCAAUAUCAGCCUGGUUUAGGUCUAGGUCAUAAUGAAUUUUCUGAUACCUUCCUUCGUCCAUAGAUCAACGUUAUGCUUCUGUCCCGUGAUGAAGAAGGAUAGAAGAAUGGUAAGAUAGGAUCGUAUUAGUGAGCCGUGGGAAAAGAGUUUUUUCGUACCUUGAUUGGACCCACCCAAAAGCAACAGGAAUCCCUUUCUCCUCCUAUAAGGAAAUCUCGUCGUUUCACUCUUCUUCAAGUACCAUCGGAUUAGUCAACUCAAACGCUGAGAGAUUACUAUAGAACCAAGGCGGCUUUGAGGCUGGCUCCACUCUCCAAAUAGAGCAGUUACUUCGUUGACGACAAGAACCCCAUUUCCACUAGCAAAGAGCAAUUCAUUUCUUUGACUCGAUGCCUCCUCAUUUGCUCCCAUUCCCAUAUUAAUAAAAGAAUUAGGGAAAUGCGAGAGAAAAGAAUGCCAAAAGCAUUUAGAGAUUUGACUAGGAUUCGUUCUGGCUCAGAUGGCGAGGGAUUGCUAUAACUAUUUUGAGAAGCAUUAAUGAGAUCUCUUUUUUUCACAAAGUGAUAUGGAAAAUCAUGUGGAAGAACCUAUAUGUAAAAAUAAUUCCAGAUUCCCAUCAUACAUUACCAAACUUCCAAAUAAGAAUAAGCUAAAAAUUGAUAAAUACCUUAAGGAACUGGAAGCAGACCCUGAUUAUAAAGGGCAACCUCCUAAACCAUCAGUAUUCCUUGUAGGUGACAUUGAAACCAUUCCCUUGUUGGAUCGGAACUAUGUUCCCGCGGAGAUAAUAGAAUCCAAAAUCUUCCCCGCCACCACGCUUAUGCAGCCGCCUUUAUGACUGUCAAUUCAGACAAGAAACUAUCAAAGAUUUAUAUUAAUCAUUAUAGUUCCCAUGAAUACAUAAAUAUGCACCCACCAUUUUAUGAUCAAAGUGAUUGUGUACUCCAAGCAUUCAUAAAUGGAAUACUUUCUGUUGUAAGCAAACAAAGAAAGUCACUAAUUAUUUACUUUCAUAACAUGAGUCGAUUCGAUGGUAUUCUGAUGACCCAACAUCUUAGUAAGUAUCACCCCGACUUGAAAGUGGAUACUUAUUUGCGAAAUGGUAUUAUGUAUGAGGUUGCUGUUUCUAGACGUGUUCAGGACGGUAGGAAUAAAUCACGUCUCCUUUUCAAAAUGCGGUGUUCGUUGUUGAUUCUCCCUGAUUCGUUAGCAAACUUAGCUAAACAAUUGUGUUAGGAAUAAGAAAGCGAUGUCGGCAGAAGAAAUAUGAAGAAACCUAUCACACUUUUGUAGUAUAGACGCGGUGCACCUGAUUUUAUAGGCAUCGGAAUGGGUUUAUCUUGGAAGAUCUUGACUUCUCCGUGCCUUCUGCCUCCGACACAUCAUAUCUCCUAUGCCGACCUCGUACUUUUGAUCACUUCUUCCUUACGAAUUGUAUCUAUUACGAAUUGUGUCUAUUUAAGCAUUUUCUCGAUUGAUAUUCAUUUUUUCAUCUAUCUCAUGAAAUUUCCCUUCUAUUAAGCGAUAAAGAGCAAUUGACGAAGUUAGCAGGAAGUCCGUCAGAUGACGGUAUGGAUCAAAGGAAUCCUCCUAUCUUCGACUGAACACCCUUUUACUGGGAUUUCGCAUUCCUAUUUCGAUUGGCAGAAGCCUUUCUUUCUGUUUGUGCUGCCCUAUGGCGAUUUCUUACUCAACGUUUGCACUUUCUUACCAACUCUUUUACAAGUUAGGUUCAGCGUUGUUCUGACGAUUAAGAUUUCUCUGUUUGACGGUUUUUACCUUCAACAACCUUUGUUGCAUCACUUCUUGAUAGCUUUAGUGCUCGGAGAGUAAGCAUACCAUAUUGUUAGCUAGUUAUUUAUUGAUAGCAAACAGCUAGUAGGUCAAGCCGGAGCCUUCACUCACUCAGCUUGGGUCAGCACCGUAUCUCUAAUUGGCGGAGACGAACUCCAAUCCACCCACUUCAUUUGUUUCCCAAGGAGGGUCAUCAGCGAGUCCGCUCUCCCCAAGGUAGUUAAAAGGCGUAGGUACGCAUUCCCCUGCACCAAUGUACCAAAGCACUUUACCUUUAAUCACUAGAUGGGCUCGAGCCAGGGUCCUAUUUUUGUUCUCCAUGACUUCAAAGCUGCUUCUCUUUAUCAAUUCUGGACAGUUCUAUAAACAUUGGUACCAGGGGUUCUAUGACCAAAAAUCUUAUUUUUUUUCUCCUGGCGUUUAUGUAUUUAUUAUCGCUGUCUAAAUGCGAUGACUGUCGUCAGCAAGUAUCCAGUGCCCAUAGUCGAAGAACUCCUGGAUGUAUGGUGCCUCAUGGUUUUCUAAACCUGAUCUCAGAGCUGGUUAUCACCAGAUUCGUAUGGCAGCUGGCGAUGAAUUCAAAACAGCCUUCCAGACUCUGGAAGGGCACUACGAGUACAAGGUCAUGUCCUUCGGCCUUGCAGGAGCACCAGCCACCUUCUUGGGAGCCAUGAACGCCACUCUCAAACAAACCCCUUCUGGGCAAAUGCGCCCUGGUGUUAUUUGACGACAUUUUAGUCUACAUCGCCUCUCUUGAAGAUCACACAAUCCACUUGCAAUCAGUGCUUGAGUUGUUAAGAAGGGAUCAAUGGCAAGUCAAACGCUCAAAGUGCUCUUUCGCUCAACGCCAGUUAUCCUAUUUGGGCCAUACUAUCAGCCAGCAUGGGGUUGCCACUGAAACCCACAAAAUUAAGAACAUUGCCAACUGGUCUUCUCUACAAUCAGUCAAAGAAGUCCGUAGCUUCUUAGGUUUGGCCGGCUAUUACAGGCGCUUCGUUCGCCAUUUCGGCAUCAUUGCAAAGCCACUGACACAUCUCCAGAAGAAACAUGGGGAGAUCCUGAGCUUUGAGGCAACUAAAGAAACAUGAUGCUUUUCAGUUAUAUUUAAGAACAGAAGAGGAAGACAAAGCAACCCUAGGAUUUCUCUGCUCCCAGUGCUUAAUACGAAAAGCUUGACAUAAACCCAAGGACGGGCAACCGCUGCUAAACCAGGAUCUCCAUCUCUUUGAAUAAAAGCCAUCCUUUCCAUUGACCAGCCUACGAGCAUCUUCGGUACUAUAAUGAAGGACGUUGACACUAUCAUAUUCUACGUAGAAGGGGUAAUUCCAGAAACAUCCUAUCUAAAAAUCAUUUAGAGAUAAGUUUCUAUAGAAAGAUAAGCGGGUGUACAAAUGAACUUUCUUAUGAUACUAUGAUACUCAGAUACCACUCAUUGGAUGGGACUGGUGGACCAUUGAUCGAUAAAAAGUAGUAAAUAAGCCCUUUUCUCGCAGGUACGAGAGAUUGCACAACCUUGCCUUGAACGCUUGAAGUUCUAAAUAAAUCUGAAGGGGAAGGCCAAUUGUAUCAUGUCAGCAAUGGUACUCUCCUGGGCUAUAGACUGUCACCUGCUUCAAGGUAUCUUGCUUGUGAAAGCCGAACAAAGAAGAAAAGAACGAAAUGGCGGUUCAUCAGUAGUCAAAGGUGCAGACUUCAUUCUUUGUUUCCUUCAUCCUCUACCAUUACGUUUUGCUUUUUAGGACUACUUAAAGGAAAGGAAUAGAAUGAUCCAUAGUCGUACCUACUUGAGGGCACCGAAUGCAUACAGCUUACGUCAACUUUAUAUAUAUAUAUAUAUAUAUAAUUAUUGAUUCCAUUCACACCCUUUGGGAACAGGAAACGGAGAACUUGUUGCUUUCUUCUGUUUUUGCUGUAGGUGAGGACAACUUAGAUUGAAAUGAUUGACUUGAUCUAGGUACGUGGUCCAAACGGAUAGGUAGAAUUACCCAGAGGGAGCCCUAGUUUCAGCAUAACAGGAAGAAGUCGGGUCCGCGCGGUUCGCCUUUUCGAAUGCAGCAGUGUUUUUGGCUUUGGCAAUACCAGCUAGCUAGCUACUUACUUGUGUGGGAGUCCUAUAAAGAAAAGCCUGAGUUAUAGACUGACUAAAGAAAUCCACCUAAGCUGUAAGUUUUUUUUACAGCUGGCACACCUGCUUGCAAACUAGAAAAUCUGAUUCUAGUAGAAAGUGGACUAAGUCUUAAGAGAGAUAAGCCGGUCUUUAUACACUGGCCCUACUUCGAAUUCAGUCAGUGGCCAGAUGCAUUGUAAGCAAUUCCAGUCCCAGCUGCUGAGGUGGCGUAGUCAGCCCUACCUAAGUAUUGAACAAAACCAGCCAUUUGUAUAAUAUUAUCCUAUCUUGCAUAUUAAUUAAGACCACUUAUUAGAUCAAGGUUGGCAUACAUAGCAUAGGAAGGUGGAGAUCUGAAGUAAUCUAUAUGUCCCUCAGCCAGUCAUCCAUUUCUCUGGAUAUGAAGUUUACAACAUAAAAAAAUGACCCUUUUCAUAAUGAAAUCCAUUACAUGCCAUCCAAAGAACUCUGAUCUGGAUUACCAGCUUUGGGGUGGAAGGACGGAUCGAUCGACCAAGCAACAACGAUCCCUUUACGAUGGUCAAGUGUGAAGGUCCCGAUUUGCCAAUCUGCCAGUGUUGUUUGACUGAUUUUUUUCAUCUCAAAACCAUUAAUGCUGACCUGUCACUGCUCAAGUGAUUUUCCUGCAUGGUUCUAGGAACCAAAAGAAGACUUUGGGUAGGUCAACGAUAGAUUCUAUGUCUAUAAUGGAACAUAGGUUCUUUUUAGGAGGAAAGCUUAGAAGGAUUCUUUUCAGAGCGUAAGACCCAUCGAAGAGCAUGGGAUUGGUAUUGCUGGUAGGGAAUUUAAAGUGAGAGCUUGAUCACUAAACCCCUGCUGCUUUCGAUCAUUCCUGCUAAAGCAGUUGGCAAUGACUCAUUGGAAACAUCUAUUGGAUCUGGGAGAAGAAGAAAUCCAAUCAAUGGGUAGGUAGUCAAUUUCUGGCGAAAGCACAAACCUUUUCUCUUACUUAAGGCGAUAAAAUCCAUUCAUUUCAAUAAUAAUCUGUUUGAGAUGUGUUUUACCGAGAAGGUAUAUGGUUUACGGUUCUAAGCCGUUGAGUUCGUGUUUUGGUAGUUGUUGUUUUGAAGGAUGGCGGAUCUAGAGUUGAAGGAUAGUGAGGCAUACCAACGCCAUGCCAACAAGAGGAACCAUCCGGACGUAAAACAGCCGACCUACCCCCUGCCACUUCUUCCUCUAAGUCAAGUUGAUAGAUUUCUGUACGAGUUUUCAAGUGCCAUCUCCAGUCUAAGCGGUUGAGUUCAGUGAUUGUAUCGAACAAAAGCCCCCUCCCGGGGCAGGUACGCGACUGUCUCUCUUCCAAAGUGUGAUCAUCUUCUCCAGUCUCCCGUUUCCACCUAUUUUAAAUGGUCAGCCUGUGCGGCAUCAAUUGAAUUUGAAUUCUAAAAUAAAGUAGACUUUGGUGAAGGAACCUAUUCUCUGGUAUCUUCUUCGGCCAUCUCAUCUGGUUUCGGCCUUCUUUGUGAGCAGCUCCUAACUCGCUCGACGGGGUAUGAUCGCUACUGUUGAUAGGUCAAUCGAAAAAGAAUAAGUUCAAGGACUGAACAGAAAGAAAGUACUCUAACACUUUCUUCGCCAUUCUUUUCUAUGAGGAGCUCUAUUUUGCUAAUAAAAAUGUAAUGCUACCUCCCUGCAGCGAUUCAUAACUAGAAGAACUCGUUGGCACAACCGGACCUUAUUAAAGGCCUCGGCCGUCUAAUCGACUGAAAGAUCUUAUCUUGGAGUUCUAGUAUGGGUCGUCGGCCCUUUCUCCUCCUCAGUAGGUGCAAACCCUGGUUCUGUAAAUGAUUAUAACUGCCUUGGAGCUAGAUAAGCAAACCUUCUUCUGUUUGAGUACGAUGGAUGUUACACCCACUGGCAGAUACAAGCAAAAGCUUUCCAGCUAAGCUAGGAGUCAGAACGAACUCAUGAAGCUAUCCUUCUUCUUGGAUCUCAAGAUUCAAAUGGAAUUUUAUCACCCCGGAUUUUGGCUUUAAUUUCCACUUUAUACUUGAGUUAAGCAAGGCACCAGCAUGGGAGAGAAGAUAGCCCCUCGGGAUCGCUUACUAGCCGGCCUGCUUGAUUUAUUUAUGAGGUAUCCAGAUGGCACUGCACCGGCGAGGGAAAGGGAAGCUGAUGAGAGGUAAGGGAAAAGUCCAUUUAAUGAAUAGGUUCACUACAGUCUAUACUAUCUCUAGACCCCCUCUCUAUACUCCCUCAUAAUAUAUGGAUCCCCCGGAUAAUAUUGAUCCUCCAACAGCUGACAUAUCUUAUCUAAACUCCCGGAAACCUGGGCAUGGCUUUUUCGAACUUAGUUGAUUUCGCAAGAAGCAACUUGAAAAGCACAAAGACUACAUCCAAACAAACCUUACGUCUUCGUUCGGCUCAUUCUUGCUUAUCUCACCCUAUUUCCUUACUUUAGCUUAGAAGUAGGCAUAUGGGAAGUUACACAAAGAUGACUUAUCGGUUGGCCUAAGCUUACUCGAUUCCAUUCUUUCCAAUAUCAUAUACGCCUAGUGAAAUGCAUCUAUCUCCUCUCCUCCCCUUCUUUCUUUUUAUCCAUUUUAUAUACCUAGUCGAAGACUACUUAGAUUAUAGGGCGGGCUUUUCUACCCAUUGACCGGGACCGAUCACUGUGUUUGACCGCUCUUGGUAUUCAGACCUUGGACUUUUUCGCUAGGAGCUAAUCCAUGCUUUAAGAGCUCUAUACAUAAAGAGAAGGUGUAUUCACUUAAAGGACUGUGAAAUCUACCCUAUGCCCCGAAAAGUCUAGGCACCUAAAUAAAGUAAAGAUGGGAUCCCUGACCAAUAGAUUAAGCUAUCCAAUGAGUUAGGAACCUUUUUUAUUCCCCCUUGUCUUCUCCGCUUUGCUCUGUUACUCCUUUUGCAGAUGGUUGGUCACCACUCUUAGGCUUUUUGUUCUCUGCUUGUGGUGGGUCUCCAAUCUUGAUCCGGUGCUGACUUAAUAGGGAAACCUACCCAGAAAAUGCCCCCUUUUCCGGUCCGGUUAACAAAGCCUGUAAACCAAGAGCGGAACGAAGAGCUAAAACGUCACCUUUACCCUUAUCCUAUUUCUUUCUUACUUGUAAACCAGACCGCGUCAUUCCUUUUUUCUUUCUUUGGUAAGGAAGGGACGGCUAUUCCCACAGGUUGAUCUUGAUAAAAUGUGCAGCGGUAAGCAACUAAUAAUCUCGAUGCAGGACUGCCGUUCCCAUAGGUUCCUCCUCCAAAACCUUCUUAGGCGAAAAAGACUGGAAGGGCUUAUUCCCACUGCUGAUUACUGAGAACCUUCUACCGGGAAAGAUUUCCUUCUAUGCCUAGUGGUUUUUGAAUUGGAAAUGGGAAAGGCAGAGAAAAUUUACUCAAAUUCCACUAUGUUAUGUAUACAAUAAUCGGGUUGCGUCUGUAUGAUCGGGGUGCUUUAUCUAAACUAGGCAGGAUAACUUGGCUAACUUUCCUACUCUUAUAGCAUCUCUGAACGGCAGGUUCCCUCAACCACCGUAACGAAGGAAUGAAUCUAUUAAGUGGGAAAGAGCCCUCGUGGCAGCUAUAUCCGCGAGGAUUCCAAGUGUUCUAAUUCAUCUCGUUACAGACCCACAUCAAACAUGCAACUGCUUGUCGCAUACUCCUGCUACUCCGACCUACGCUUCUCACAUCGCAUCCUUGGUCCUUAAAUGACGGUAUAUUCUUUUUCUGGGGUUCUAUCAGCAUAAAUGGAGACACUUCCCCCUUCUUCGACAUAUGAAUAUGCCUCGCCCCGAAGAUAAAGAAAUCCUGAGUAAGGAGAGAGAUUCUCCACAAGAACGAACGACCCAUCAGGUUCGAACUGACUUAGGUUGGACCAGGACCCACCUAUCUCCACCAAGAAGGAAUCGCUUUGGUUACGCAGUUCAGUUGGCGAUAAAAGCCAACCUAAUCUGCGGGCCGGUAGGCCAGCCAACUAACUCUUCAAAUGAAGAACUUAUUUCCCCACACCUAUCUCUAUGAAACUUCCUUCAUAGUUAGGAGAGGUUUUUUUU
rnacentral:lncRNA from 1 species